ACCUGAGCUAAGUACGCUCCUCCAAAUGGAGUCAGCGUAGUUUCCAGGUCCUCCGGUUGGACUUGGGCGUCCGGUUUAAUAUCAUGAGGGCGGUUGAAGGUGGAGAGAGCCCGCUCAAUUUUGGAGUUGAUGAGCUUGGCUCGGGCUCGGUCACUCGCCAGUCGGGAGCGUACGAGGUCGGAGUAGUUGUUGUUUGGCGGCUUUAUGAUGGAUGAAUAAGGAUGUAGGGAGAGGGACAAAACGGAGGAGGUCGAGGUGGGGUGAGCUUUUUCUGUUGAGAAGAGCUGAAGUCUUUUGAAAACUGAAGCAGAGACUGCUUGAGGUGAAAAUGGACUGAGGGUGAAGGAGAAGAAGAAGAAGAGGAUGAUGAGGAUGUUAAUGGAAGGAAAUGGCCUUUGAGCUUCUCGAGCCAUGUUUGUGGUUUUGGAGCAGAAGAGAAGACAGGAGAGAAGGGAUGAGAAGUUUGGAAGGAGCAAGGGUUUAUAUAUAUAGACGUCGAUCUGCAUGGAGGGCAUGUGGUUAAUUAAGACAUGGCUGCACUCACAUUUUAUUUAUUUAUUUAGUUUUUUGUUUAGGAUAAGUUCAAAUUCAAUUACGGUAGAAAACGUUGAUCAGACACAACCACACGCUUCUUUCCUGAAGAAAUGAAGAGAAAAUUAAACUAGAAGUUGCUUAAAGAUAGCACGUAUAGUAAUUCAGAUGCUGCGUAUAUAUGGAGAAGCAGUUUGAAAAAUGGCCCCUCACAAAUAUCACCGUAUUAACCAUCCUCUCAACUUUUUAAGAGCGAAGACUUAGAGGAGCGUCCACGACAGUUGGUCCUUCUGGUGGGCAUUGGUCACAAUAAUUAUCUAGAAAUGUUUUAUUCUUUGCAAUGUGGAAUAACUUUCCUCUACACAUGCAUAUUAAUGGCAUUGAAUAUGAUGGCAAAUUGGAAUUGCAGUAGCUAGGGAACAAGAAGGCUUUCAACAACUCAGUUUGAUCUUUCAUGAUGAGCAAAUAUAUAUUGGCUCGACUGCAGAGUUAUGCCUAAUUAGAAAUAAUUAGGGUUAAUAUAAAAAAUAAAAAAAACCCACAGAAAAUUGCUAUCUGCCAAUCACACUGAUUACUGUGACUUCCUUGUUUCCGAUAGUCAUGCCUUCGUUAUCUAUAGUUAAAUGGUGGGUGCUAUGGAUUAAUAGAUUCAAGUAACAAUUUUUCGUAAAGAAAUGUUUAAGGGUUUACGUAAAAAAAAAAAAUCAAGGGAGUGGAGUGUAAAAUUCAGGUAAUCGUUUUUCAUGCAGAAACUCUCUUUCGGUAUCGCAUGCAUUGCAGAUUAGGUCAUUAGGCGAUUAAUUAGCGGUCAACGGUACGCAACAUUCAAAACAGUUGCACAUUUUUAUUUAGUCCACUCGUCAACCAAUCAGACCAUUUCGUCAUUCGUUAAUGCUCUUUCUAGAUCAAAAAUGUCUAACAGGAUUGAAUUAAACCUAAAAUGAAAAGAAAUUGUACCUUUUGCUUUUUUUUUUUUUUUAAUUUGGGGAUAAUUUCAUUCAAUGAAAAUUGCACUAAUAGCAGUAAAUAACAUCAAAAUGUGCAAGGAAUGCAACAGACAGAAGGAAUUUUCUUCUGUUUCGAAGAAUUAAGAGAAUCCAAAUUGUUAUUCUCAAGUAGACUAAUGCAAGUUUCAUAAACUAAUUAGUUAGCAUUUUGAAUUAUUAGCUCUAUUUGCUAGUAAAACAAAAAACAAAAAAGCACCUAGACCAAAGCAAUAGAAGAGAAAGAACAAAAGGUCAACUAGAAAAUUAUUAUCAAAUUAGGGUCUGUUUGGUUGGAAGUAAAAUGUUUUCCUUGGGAAAAUAUUUUUCGUGGAAGUAAUUUUCCAUGAAAAUCAUUUUCCUUUCAUCAUUUUCAGGUGUUUGGUUAGCUUAUUGAAAAUAUUUUCUUACUUCAUUUUUUUGGUGUUUGUUUAACUUUUGAAAUAUUUUCACUUUUAUCUCUAUCUUUAUUUUCUACACAUUAUAACUACAUACUUUUUCCCAUACAAAAUAAGAAAAUUUAUCUCAUUGUUUAACUUUAAAAAAUCUUGGAGAAAUGUAUAUAUGAAUAAAAAAUAUCUCCUUAAGCAAUAAACAAAUUGCUGGUCAUUUAGUGUCAAAUAUCAAUCACAUGCAAUGCUUAUUGUGACAUAUAUCUUGCACUCUCACUGCUGAAAGUUUCUCUAGAAAAAAAUGUCCUUAUUAUACAUAAUCAAUUACUAGCAUAGGAUGAGCAGGAUGAGGUUUUUUUUUUUUUUUUUUUUUGAAUAUACUAUGGGGAGGGUUGGGUGGUACGGGGGAGGGAGUGUAAGGAAGAGGUCUUGGGUUCGAGUCCUCCUGUUUACAUUAAAAAAAAAAGAACAUACUACAAGAUGUUUUCAGUAAGUUUGGAACAUACUACAGGCGGAAUGCAUGCAUUUCGGAAAACAAUUUCAGUAAGUUUGGAAGGGAAGUUGUUUUCCAUAAGAUGAAUGAAAAUAUUUUACAUAGGAAAAUGUUUUCAGUAACUUUUGUGCAACCAAACACGGGAAAUUGGGAAAAUAUUUUCCUGGAAAAUAUUUUCACCCGAAACAAACGGACCCUUAAAGUUGUAAAUUUCCGUUGAUAUUAUCAAAUAUUAUCAAGUUUCAUAAACUAACGUUGUGCGCUUCCGUUAUUUCUAUUGGCAGAUUAUAAUCAAAGUGGCGAUGGCAAAGACAAUAUCAAUCAGGCUGUCGAUCUAACGAUUUGUUUUAUGUGUUGAAUCAUUCUGCAAGUAAAGCCAACCGAGUCAAUGGCGACUAGUCAUCAAUUAGGCAACCAAAGAAGUUAACCUUCUUUGAUAUCCAUUAAUUAGAGCCUACAAAGACCAGGUCUUUUUUCUUGCCAAUAUUAAAUUUUUAAGGCCAAACGUCCAGCAGCAAAACAAAGCAUUAAAGAUGGAAAAGAAAAAGAAAAAUUUCCCUUUUAUAGUUUUAUUAGGUCAAGCCAGGAGUAGGACUAGAAGAAGGAAAACGUUUCUUCCAUUACUUCUUCACAACUUAACUCCGAUAUGUGUAACUUGAUUGUCGGAGACAAAUCAAGGGACUUAACCCUGAUUCUCCUACUCCUGGUUGCAGGUCAUCAGAUCGGAAGACCUUACGAGUUCCAGCUCGAUCGUGCAACGAGCAAUUGAUAAAUCAUUACACCGAAAACGGAGAGGAUUUUUCUUGUAGAUAUACCUUAAUUGACAUGAUCGAAUAUGUGUGGUUCGUUUUGUUAGAAAAGCUAGCUCAAGGAUUAAUCCAGCAAAAACAAUGAAAGACUUCACAUAACUUGCUUUUAAAUUAAAAUGAAGACAGCAGGGCUGAAACCAAUCAGCCUUGUUAUGUUCCACACAAGUAAUAUUUUGCAUGCAUUUAUGUGGAUAAUGAAACGGGCAAUCGAAUGGUUGUACAAUUCCCUCCUUGCCAAGUAAUUGAUUUCCUGACAGUUCCCCCCAAACGAUGUGGACUAUAUAUCAACAAAGUACAUCAUAUAUACCAUAUUUACUAAUCGAAAGAGGGAUUAUUUUUCCUAUAUAAUGUAUAUCUGAUCACAUAUAGAUGCAUGACUCAUAUAGACUUAUUCUUGAUUGAUUACUUUAGCUAAUUAUGGAUUCUAAUGUUAGAUAAUCAGUUUCUUUGAUAUUUUUAUUUAUUUUAAUUAUACAAUUUUUUUAUUUUUAAUAUUAAAAAAACUGAAAUUCAUAAUCAAUCAAAAAAUUAAAUUUUACUAAUUCUCAUUAUUCUCUAUAGUCAUUUUUUUUAAUCUUAAUCUGAUUUUGUAAAAUCUGAAACCAAGCAGUAUUAGUAUGAAUUUACAAAUAUUUUGGUUCCAAUUUCUUCGGAUGUCCUCUCGAAGGAAGGGACAAUAUUUUGGUUCAAAUCAAAUAUACUCUCCUACUAGCAAUAUGAGAGAGUGGUCUUAACAUUGAUUCGGACUAAAACCAAUCACCUUAUUGGUAAGGUCGUAAGUGACCCGCAUCCCUUGCUGCUGUAUGUUCCCAAUUAUUGACACCCGUUUCGAUAGGGGUUGAACCGGAUGACGUCAUAAAUAAAAUUUAUUUAAAAAUUAAAAUAUUAUAUGUAAAAUACUUAAUAACAUGUUAAUAUUAAUAAAGGUAUAUUCAUAUAUAUUUGAUAUUUCAAAUAUAUUUAAUAAGAAAAUACAAAUAAAUUAGAGCAAUCAAGUAGCAAUUUAUAUUAUAUAAUAAGUAUUAACAAGUUUAGAAUUAAAAUUAUGGACUUAAUUGAAAAAUAACACCAAACUUUAAGACAUCAUUUAUAAAGUAUGAAAUAUUUGAGAUAUGUUAAUAAUUUUUAGCAACUUAAGGAUCAAAACAUCAUAUUAAAAAUAUUUUGACCUUUCAAAAAAAGUAAAAAGAAAAAAAAAAGAGACCGGGUUCAUUUUUCCGGUCAAACCCGGGUUUUGAUCUUAUUUGACCGAAUUUUUGAUUUUUCGAUUUUUAGGAUUAACUCGGACCAGCCAACUGGUCGGCUCCCGGUUCGACCGGCGAUCCGAUCCGAGUUUAAAAACAGAGGUAUCAACACAAAUCAAAUAAUUUGCAGGCCUCAGCGACAGCGUUUUGCCCCCAUGGAAUUCAAGCGACAUCGUUGGAUAGCCAUAUGUGGGCUCAGAUGAUAGAUCAUAGCAAGUGUCAAAUUUAACUGGACCAUAGUCGAACCCGCUCACGGGAGGCAAGGCUCGAGCGUACUUAACAAACGUAUCGCCGACCGAGUUAUAAACCUGAGUUGGAGUUAUCCUGGUGCCCGAGUCAACUACGAUUCCCCGCGUCCAUCUUCGCCUAUUUAGUAAUCUGAUGCUGGGAUGGAUACUUUUUCCCCAUUAAUAGUGACCCCCGUGAGUUCCACGUAAUAAUAUAGACAACGAGAAUCCGUACGCAUACCCAAAAAAAAAAAAUACAGUACUAGUCUACUCUACUAGCUGCUUAAAUGGAUGGAUUAUGGUUUUCCAUUAUCCAUUUAAAGCCUAUCCAUUUAUAUCCAUUUUUAAAUGAUUGUAAUUGGAUUGGAUUAAUUUUAUCCAUUAUCCAUUAAACAAAAAUCAUUUAUCAACCAUUUAUUUAUUUUGCUACUUCUAUUCUGAACAUUAUCAAUCCCAUCACAGUACAGGAACUCAAAAUACUUCAAGUGAGAUAAACUUGAAACUGAGAGAAGUGUGUCCAUCCAUAUACAAAAUGACACUUUCACAUACUCAAUCACGGGGAACCCAGAGAGAAUUUGGUGAAAUAAAAACUUGUCGGUGAAACAAGAAUGAGAUAAAGAAAGCUUCUGUAGAUGUGGAAGUUUGAUAUCCAAUCCACUCUCAAAUCUACAGCCACGUAAGCUUAAAACUUUUAGCGAGCUAGCGAGCAAAAUCGAUUGCGGAACGCUAUAAAAAUAUCUAUCUGAGCCCGACAAACUAUCAAUACAAACAGCAAGUUCUGGAGCAGUCCUGUCUACUGCUAUACCAAUCCAUUGGUCCAUAUUAGGCAUCAACAACUCCAUAUCAGGGAAGUCAAUAUACAAGUGAAAUCUUUGUACGCAAAAAUCUAGUUGCAAGCGCCGACAGAUGGAAUUUCCAGCAAGAAUCAAGAAAUCAUGUUUUCGCCUUUUUAUAUGAACGUCACCAACAACUUGCUCUCGUUCUGUGACUGAAUUAUCAUAGAAAAAGUGGAAUACAAGACAAGGAUAAGUGGACCAGGUGCGAUUCCAAGUCUUUGACAAUAUUGCAGUAGAGGUAAAAUCUCUGGCAUGCAGACAAGAUAAAAUGUGAUGAAUCACGAAAUCAGGCAGCCGCGAGAUGAAGUCCAAAGGGGCAAUCUCCAAACCAGACCUCUCCUGCUCACAGUCCUCUAUUAUUAACCAACAAAAGCGGUCAUUGACCAGUUAGAACUCAAAUUUCAUCAUUCACUCAUUUACAAACUAAUUCCAACUCAAAUAUGCUUGAUAAUCAAAACAGAACCAAUUAGAACUCAAACGUUCAUCAUUCAUUCAUAAUUAUACACUAAUAUGAACUGAAACGUGCUGGAUUAUCAAAGUUAUGCGCUAAUUUGAAACUCAAACAGUUCCUUAUUUAUUGACGAUCAUACGCAAAUUCGAACUCCAACGUGCUGAUUCACUACAAUUAUAUGCUAAUCAAAAUCAAAAGUCUUCAUCCACUCAUGAUUAUAAAAUAAUAAUUAGUGUAUAAAAAGUCCUGGAGCAAUAAUAAUUACUAAAAAGUCCUAAUUACCACCACAAUUAAUUAUAGAACAAAUCCAAGUACUGGAGCAGGGACCUUAGGUGUGCAAUGGGUUACUUGAUUCACCCUGUUCACGAAGAGUUUGCUUGAUCCGAUAUACCAGGUUUGUCUAUACAAAUAUUAACUUUGCGUACAAUGGCAAGUAGGGUCGAUUCCACAGGAAGCGGGUAGGAAAUUAUUUCUUUCCAAGUCAAUAGAAUAAAAUUGGGGGAUUUUUAAUGGGAGGCAAAUAAAAAAAAUAAGAAUAAAAAUAAAGCAAACUAAAUUCAAAACUAAUUCACAAAGCACAAGUUACUAAAAGUAGCAAUUAAUAAAAUUCUAUCCAAAGGAUCAACUGCUCAGGUACGGUCCAACUAAAUGAUCAUUGAUGCAAAGAUAUUUCGUCCAUUCAUCACUAGGUUGGUUAUAGCUAUCAACAAGCUCUGAUAACCAGUUCUUCCUUACUUUUUCGACAGUCAAGAUACGACCAUUGACUGCUUCCCUAACCAGAUAACAACCCUAUGUACGACCGUAGGAAUUUAAUUACCCAAUUGCAUUAACGCUAGAAGAACCCAACCCUAACUAAUAAACAAGCUAAGAGGGUUUAUUUAAACUAGAUCUUACGUUUCCCCAACAUAAAGCCAAUUAUGGUGGUUGUCACUAGGUAUCAACUAAACGAACAAUUACGGAUUCAAUUCAGUUAAUGUGACAGUAGGCUAUUAAAUUAAAUCAAAUACCCGGCCGUUGAUAUUCAAUUAAUAAAUUACCCAAAAAUAAUUAAUUCAGGAAACGCACGAAUAGCAACAAAUUGGAAGAAAUAAUGAAGAUUCGAUUAGAUCUCACAGAUAUUAUGGACCGCGCUUUCGCGUCAACCUUUGGGUAGAGGAGAAAAUUAGCCGCUCCUUAUCGUGUCAAUCCCGCGUGACUUAAUUGAAUUCAUUCAAUUAUUUGCCGAAGAAUUGGGGAAAGGGAAUUAAUUGCAGUAACGACAGAGAAGGCCCUGCCUUCGCUUUUGUUUUGGAGCUGCGAGUGCAAGAACAAAAACUAAUAGAAAUUGUUCAGAGCCAAAGUCGAGCGAAAGGAGUCUCGUUCAUACAAAGCCCAAAAAGCACUGGAGAAAUCUUCCUCUUCUGACCGAUGGGCAAAGGGAAAUUGACGCUUAACUAAUUGAUUAGACGUCAAUCUCACUUUUUUCCUAAUUGCGGCUAAAGAGAAAAAGACCAAAAGCGUCUGACAGAUCUUACAGAAAGUAAACUAAAGCUAAGGUAUUGAUUCCCCCUGAAUCUGGCUUUUUCUAUUCUUUUAUAGCCGCCGUAGGAGAAAAGCAUUAGGAACAAGACUUUUUGUCCAAGGGCUCUGAUCUUACGCAUCUGGUCCACGUAGACCGGUUUUCUUAAUUGGGUCUCCUGCUAUUGGUCCCGCGGAUUCGGCUUUUCGGCAACAUCUACUUUUUCUGGCGUGGCCACGCCCUGAGAUGAAGGGUCUUCUGAAAAUUUGCCUCAAGAGAUUACUUUUAACGCCAAUAACCUAUAAUUCAUACAAAUAUGAAAUAUGAGCAAAACCUCAAUACUUAGCACAGUAAGUAGCCAAAAUUAGGACAAAAUAACAGUGCAAAAUGUGCCAAAUAACCGCUCUAUCAUAAAGUAAUCAGACUAAAUAGUGCAGGAUUAUUACAAUUAAGCAACUGAAGCAUUUACAGAAAGAAAGUUUACAAAGAGUACCUGAUUCCAUGAAGGGCAAGCCGGCAAAGACUUUGAAAAGGCGAACCAGAUUAUAUCAGUAAAUGUUAUAAAGUUAGCGAGGAAAUCAAUUUAAAUUACGCAGGCCAGAAGAAGACUGCAAAUUCCAGCUGACUUUGUGAAUUAAAAUGUUGAGCAGAAAAUAAAGCAUGAUCAUAAGGAUAAACAAAAGUACUUGAAAAUAAUUAAUAGCCUCUGUAAUUUAGCCCCAAUUCCCGGAACAUGUAGACAACGGGGGCGAGUGAGAGAAUAGAGAUACUGGACCACAGGCACGUGCAAUCGUUCCUGGCAAUUAUGUGCAUUUUGCACAGCGCGUAACUUUAUUUGUAGAUGGUGUAACUUACUUUCAACAACGUGUAACUUUAAAACAAAAUUUUUUGGGUCCCACACAUGUUGUUAAAAUCGAGAUACAAGAUAAAAUCUGGACCGUACAAUUUUUUUUGGCCAAAUCUUGGCUGUGAACAGCUCAAGAGUGGUCCAUCUGAUGACCGCUCCUGCCCCUCAUCCAGAGAUACUAGAUAGCAUGAAACUGUGAAUAUACGCAGUUAGGUAGUAGACUAUUAGUUUCUUCCAUUAGUUUUCCUUGAUAAAAUAUUUGUGACUCCGUUUGAAUUAACUGUUUUUGAAAUAUUUUAAUGUAACAGCGUAUAUGAAAAACUUUUAUUGUAAAUUUUUUUGUGAUGUUUUUGAAGAAAGUUUUGAAAUAUAUUUUGGGGUACCUUUUAAAAUUAAAAUAUUUUAAAGAUAUUUCUUAAAAAUUAAUACUAUCACCCACAACCACAAAUAACCACCAACACCACCUCCAUCACCCCCUCCUUCAUCCUUUCUCUUCCUCCUCUCUCUUCCCUUUCCCUCCCUCCGUCCCCCUCAAUCUGGCCACAACCAAAGGCUGCAAUCUGGUCGCAGCCAGAAAGUUGCUAGGCAGCGGCUAGAUUGCGGCCUCUAGUCGCAACCAGAGGCCUUGAUCUGGUCCUGACAAAUUGAGGGAGGAAGAAAAGGGAGGGGGUAGUAGUGGUGGGCGGGGAUGGUGGUGGGUGGUGGUGACAGGUAGUGGUGGUGAUAAGUGAAAAAUGUCAUAUAAUUUAUUUUUAAAAAUUUUUUUGUUUAUAUUUGUGAAUUAUUUUUGAUAUAUUGUACAGAUGAAAUGUUUUUGAGUUGUUUUUAUUUGUGUAUUAUUCUUGCAUUAUAUUUGAAAUUUUUGUUUUGGGAAAUUUACCAAAUUAGUCCCUAACAUUUACAUAAAAAAAUUUUUAGUCCCUAAUAUUUAAAAUAUCCAGAAUAGUCCUUAACAUAUAAAUUAUGUUCCAUUUUUGUCCUAAUGCUCGUAUUUACUCAUUUCUCCGACUAAAAAUAGCACGCAUCUCUCACGUGGGCAUAUUUUCAAGGGCAAAAUUGAAAAACACAAGUUUUUCUCCUCUUUUCAAGGACAACAUUUUCGCAUAUUUGUUUUCCUGUUCUGAAAUUAGGACUUUUCUCCCUUUUUGCUUCUGGUCAUAGACUCUUUGCUAGCGAACUACGCCUCUUCCAAUGAAGAACAAGAUCAAGAACAAAAAGAUAAACCACAGCUCUCAAAGCCCAAAUUCACUGGAUUCCUCCCCUCACUGCCACCCCCAAAAUCUUCAUCAUCAUUUCUUUCUCACCCAUCUCCUUUCCACUUCCCCCACCCCAAUCCCACCACCCAAAGCCCCCCGUUUCGUCGACUUCCUCAACCCUAAAUUCACAUAAAUCUAAUGAACUUCAAGAAGAGAGGGAUGGGCAACAAUUGCUAAAAAAAUCAGGAAAGUUCGAGACUUUUGGCAUCGCUUCCAAAACCAUCAUCAUCUUUGUUCGCUUCGGUUCCUCAACCCAAAUCAUCUUCCACGUCAUCUCUUUUCUCUUCUCUUCCGCAGCCCACCAAAACCGACAAUCUUAAUGCUUGGGUUUCGCCUCCUACAUAAUCUGCUAGAAAGAGGGUGGUGGUGGUUCCUUGACGGUCGGAUCACACAGCUUUAACGGAAAGGUGACGGAAUCAAGUUCGCCGGGUUUAAUGGUGGUGGUUCCUUGGGGGAUCAAUAGCAGCAGCCACACUGGGUGCUUUUCAGUUUGAGGAGAAUAUACUGAAGUAGCAGCAACAGAAGCUUCAAUUCCAUAUUUACACUGAAAAUAAUAGUGUUUUUCAAUUUUGCCCUUGAAAAUAGGCCCACGUGAGAGAGGCGUGCUAUUUUUAGUCGUAGAAAUGAAUAAAUACGAAUAUUAAGAUCAAAAUGGAUCAUAAUUUAUAUGUUAAUGACUAUUCUGACUAAUUUUAAAUGUUAGGGACUAAAAAAGUUUUUUUGUGUAAAUGUUAGGGACCAAUUUGCCAAAUUUUCCUUUUGUUUUUGAAAAAUAGAUUUUUGGAUUUUUAGUAGAAAAAUAUACUAUGUCAAUUUGAUGUACGUGAGAUCAAAAUAAGUGUUUGAAAAAUAUGAUCAUGAAAAAUAUAUUUAAAAAAAUUUCUGCAGAAAAACUUCAAGGAAUUUUUUGAUUGGUGCCGAACUUGUGCAAUAAUAAUAAUAAAAACCUAACUACCACUAAAAGUCAAUAAUUAAUCUUAGGUACUAGAGCAGGGACUCUAGGUGUGCAAUGGGUUACUUGAUUCACCUUAUUCCCGAAGAGUUUGCUUAAUCCGAUAUACCAGAAUUAAUUAAUUGAUAAAAUUUACUAAAUAGUAGACAGUGGUAAGUAGGGUCGUUUCCUCAGGGAUUGGGGAUAUUUGUCUUUUGAAAUUCCAAUUGGUAAAAGGGGGAUUUUAUCAGAAUGCAACUAAAAAUAAUUAAACAAUUCAACUAAAAAUAAAUAAUUAACUAGCACGAAUACAGGCAGAAAUUAAAUCAAGGAUAGAUAAAUUCUAACCAAGGAUACAACUAUUCAAACACAGUCCACUUACCCGAUCAUUGAUGCAAGGAGGUUCACUUAAUUUAUUAAUAGGUAAGUUAUAGUCGCGGACGAACUCUAACUACCAAUUUUUUCUUAAUUUAUUGAUAACCAAGGUACGACCAUUGAUUACCCCUAACCAGAAAAUACUCCUAAGUACAACCGUAGGAAUUAAUUUUUCAAUUGCAUUAAGAACUAGAAAAAUCUAACCCCAAUCAAUAACACGCUACGAGGGUUACUGAAAUUAGAUUGCACAUUUCCCUAAUGUGUAAACAUACCAGUUGCCACUAAUAUUAAUCAAUCAAACAAUUACGGAUUUAAUUGACUAAUUUGGCAAGAGAUUAAUAAGUUGCAUUGAACAUCGGGCUCUUGACAUCCAAUUAACAAAAUAAUCCCACGAUAAUUCAAAUAGACAACGUGCAAAUAUUAACAAAUUAAGGAACGCGUGAAAACUAAUUAGAUCUCACAGAUAUUCGGAACUGCGCCGUCGAGUUAAUCCUUUACUAGAUGAAAGGCUUAGCCACGUCGCAUAAAUAAAUCUCCACGCAAAUUAAUUGAUUGUAAAGGCAUCACGUUUUUCACUAGAAAGCAAGAAAUAAAAGAUAUUCUUCCCGUUGGAAAAUAUUGUCGAACACCUGGAAUACGUUAAAGACCAAAAAAAGAAAACUAAAACUAUUGCUCCUAAGCUGUCCUAGCCUCUGUACGUUUUUUUUUCUAAAACAAUUGACUCCUCCUUCUUAUCUUCGUGGUCCCCCGCCGAAUUAAGAGUCAAAGGGCCAAAGAAUUGGAGCUCUGCCGAAAUCCUUGUUUUUAGUUUCCUCUUCAUAGGAAAACUCCUAGUUAGCAACUUUUCUAAUCAGUAAAAGAAAUGCAAUCCGUCUGUGGCACCCUGUGGGUCAGGGUUUGUGAAGCUCUUUGGAGUCUCCCACGUGUGGAGUAAUUUUCUACAACAGGUCCCUCUUUUUAGCAUGUUUCAGUUCAACUUCCCUGUAGAUAGGUCCAAAUACCAAAUAUAAGUAUAUAUUAAUAAUUUAAACAAUAUUUGGCAAGGACAAAGGGGGAAAUAUUGUUUAAACAAUAUUGUUUAAAUAUUAUUUAAACAAUAUUUAAACAAUUAACACCCUAUCAAUUCCCUCCACACCUGAACCAUGCUUGCCCUCAAGCAUGAGAACAGCAAUUGAACACCAAAAUUUGACAAUGGCUAUUGCUCCAACUACCGUAUUGCCAAGAUACCAAGAAAAAUAUAUAUCAAGCAUUACAUGUCAAGAUCAAAGAAAAAUUACCCUGGUUAGCUUCAAAACCACCGACUCAACCAAUUUAAGACAAACUAAUCUAAGAAAAAGGAAUGAUCGAUCAACAUUUAUCGGCAAAUGGUCCAACUAUUAACCAAAAUCUCAACAUUAACUCCAUAAAUCGGCAAGUUGGUUUUUAUCACUUACUAACACAACCUUCACUUUUUCACGCUUUUUUUUUCUUUUCUACUUUUUUUUCAAUCGUAACAAAAUGCUUAGUCUCUAACCAUUGGAGCCUUUUGAAGCGAACUCCGACAUUUGUCAGAUGAAGGAGCCCGGUUACUCAGCUCCUAUCGCUAUACGACCAAGUACUCAUAGCAAUUACUACUUUUUGACGCGAGAAUUGACACUUUUGAUAAAGAUCCCUGAUUACUCAGUAGUAAUAUCUAGCGGAGCACAGUCAAUUUUAUUCACAGCCAAACAACACAAUAACUAAAAAUAACACAAAAGUAACAGCAGCCAUCCUCAAAUUUUCAAACGUGGAGAACUAAAAUUAAUAAUUGGACCCAAUCACAUGAAAAAUGCCAACAAUCAUUCCCUAUAUCUAGAAAAAUUAACCGAAAAGUAGAAGAGUCAAGCAAUUACUGAUAUUCACCAAAGAGAUGCUCCUGAACUUAACCAUAUUAGCUAGAUACACUUUUGUUACUAAAACUCGACAAUAGCAGAAUUAGAAACAACAACCCAACAUCAAAACUUGGUAUUCAUAUAAGAAUUGAUCACAAAAAAAAAGAAGAAAAGAAAAUAAAAGAAAGAUAGGCAAAAACAAACUAAAAAUAAAGGAAAAACCUCUAGAAACUAAAAACUGGAAAACUAGCACCACAACUGACCUCCCUCCCACACCUAAAUGACACAUUGCCCUAAAUGGGAUAAGCCAACAGCAAAAGUAAAGAGAAGGGCAACGGUACUUCCCUGAAGUCGUCAAAACAGUAGAGGGUCAGGUGGAAACUGAGGAGCAAGACCUGCAUGGUGCAUAAAUGCUGCCAAAUUCUACGCCAUGUUAUGCAAGUUGACGUCAAUGUGGGUCACUCGAGUCUCCAGUCGCUCAACCAUCAUCCGGAGUUGGAGCCAGUCGUCAGCCCCUGGGGUAGGAUCGGAGGUAGAUGGGCCGGGAUCACCGCCAUCAGCGGGGAAGCGGGCAAAAGAUGACUGAGGGGGAGCACGAAGCGGUCCCGGCGGAACAACCUCCAACCCAUUGUCACCUUCCCGAACCAAACCCAUUUUCUCUAGACAAGGAAUAUCAAAGGGCUCAAUUUGACAGGUAACAUGCAAAUCAUGAUUAGAAAGAUCAAGCACAUGCAAAUUAACAGUCAAAUGAGUAAUAUAUGACCCAACAAUCAGGGGGCGCUUCUUUUUAGGUAAAACAGAUUUGAACUGAGAAGCGAGCCAACACCCCAAGUUAACUUUAAUGUUAUUAUGCAUGCACCAAAUAAAGAAAAUUUUCGGUUUAGACAAUACAUCCGAGCUAUCACGCCUACCCGAGAAACUAUAGGCCAAGAAACGGUAAAAAUAGCGAGACGCCGGGUCCUUCAGAUAAGAACCCUUAGAUAGACGAUGGUCAUAAUUAUCACGGUCUACGGAUAUCUCCUCCCAAAGAUGUCGAUAGCGGGAGAAAAAAGGCUGUACAUAGUCACAUGCACCCUCGGCAUACUCACGAGAUUCGGCAUAGGCUUGAUCAAUAAAACCUAAGGCUAGAUUGAAAUUAGUAAUGGAGUGGUGGAACUCUUGACCCAUUAGUCUAAAACGGAUGAUAGUGGGAGUAGAAACUGUGUAACCCGUGGGGAGGUUGAACUCGAAUGUGGUAUAGAACUCCCUAACUAACUCGACAAAAGCUGGAAGGUCAACAAUAUAAAUAUAGGGACACCACCCUAUGGCUUGGAUCAAACGAUCAAAGUCAACCCUAAUAUUUAGAAGGCCCAAGGUGGCGGCGUCCCGAUAUCGGCAGGGAAUAAUCCGCCGUUCACAACAAGCAGCAUAUCGCUGCUUGUCGGUGGCCCUGGUGAAGUUUAAAUUACACCCAAAAUGUGCAGGGUCAGAAACAUGGACGCCUCUUUGCCUUCCAAUGCGAGCCCUCCUCCUAAAGGAAGAAGGGUCGUGCGAGGGGUCAGAGGCGGGAAUAGAGUGUUGGGGUGGAGGAGGCUGAGAAGUUCUAGGUGUCCUAGACCUAGAGUAGGCUCAUGGCUUUACCAUGGGUGGCAGUUAUCACUCCAAACGACAAGAAACUAAAGCGACCAACAGAUGCAGAAACAACACUCCAGAUGAGUGAACAACAGCCCCCAAGCAACAAGCAAAUGCCCAAUAAAUAUAGCUAAUGUCAACAAUGCAAGGAACCCCGGCAAAGCAAGUAAAUUGAACCAACAAGAAAAUCACAGCGAUGACCUCCAACAAUCACAGAGAAUAACAAAAUUUUGCUCUCUCCAAAAGCUCAACAACUGUCACCAAUUGGACAGUCGAAUACACAACUCAACCAACCAAAAAUUCUAGCAACUCAGUCACAGAAGCCCAAUCACAUCGAAUUAAUAAAUUGUAUGCAAUCUACGAUAACCAGGACCACUGGCGUACGCACAAGUAAGAAACAAUUCGCACAGGCAACCCAAACCACUGAGAUAUCUCAACCCCUACCAAACAGUACCGAAAACUAGAAGAAAUCAAAAUGAGAAUCAAUUGGCAGGUGCCCCAGACGUACCCACCCUCAAUAAGCAAAGCAAGUGGCACAGUAGCCUCCCAAUUGAAUAAAGAAUCACAGAAAUACCCAAUUAUAGGAGCAAUAAAAAGUUCAGGUAGUCUAAACACACCAAAUUCCCAACAAAGCAUUGCAAUUUACUGCAAUCAUAAAAAAGAAAUUGGACCUCAGAUGAUUUAAACCUCGAUGACCGCAGAGGUAGUGGUGGGACUGAGCAACGGCGCGCGGUCAUGGGCGAGAGGAAGACAGGGUGGCGCGUGCUGCUUGCUUGGCCUGGAGUCGCACUGCAGCCGUGGAGAGAGAGAGACGUCGCACGUAGUGGUAGCGCGAGGUGAGGCGCGUGAUGGAGAAGCGUGGGUGGUAAGAGGUGGUGGCAGAGAGUAAGAGACGAGCGGUGGCAGCUCGCGCGCGGCAGUGGCGAUGGCGAACAGCAGCAGCGGCAAACGCGGACUGGCGGGGGCGUGGCCAGGCGGCGCGAGGAAGAUAAUGGAGCUGGUGGCGACGGCAUGGAGAUGAUAGAGGUAGGCGCGGUUGGAAUCGUACGAGGUGGGUGGCGUGCGGCUUGAGAAGCGGCGCAGACCAGCGACGGAGAGAGAGUGAGAUAGAGAGAAGCGUGACUUGGCGACGGUGUAAGGAGGUUCGAUCGAAAGAAGAAAAGAAAGAAAGAAAAAGAAGAAAAGAAGAAAGAAAGAAGAAAAAAGAAAAGAGAAAAAAAAUAUUUUUUUUUGGGUUUUUAUUUAAUUUAUUUUUUCAAAAUUUUUCGAAUAUAAAAAAAUUUUCUUCUUUUUUUAUUUUUUUUUAUUUUUUUAAUUAAAAUUUUUAAAAAAAAUUUUUUAACGUCAGUUUUGAGUCGUCUAACACCGUAAGGACACGUCAAAAUUAUAAAACGUCCACAGGUUUCGGCAGACACUAACACGGCGUGGGCACGCCAAAAUUGCACAUCCUGAUCAUAGUGAAGGAAAAUAUCAAGACCGAUUACUACUCAAAUAAGAAACAACAAAACGAAAGAAUUGAACAAUGAAAAGCAAUAAAACUAAUAUUUGGGUUGCCUCCCAAAAAGCGCCUUUCUUUAAUAUUUUUAGUUAGACACAAUUCAAAAUUUGUUUAAACUAAGCAAAUUGGGUCUUCCAGUUGCAUCAUCUCCACUCGUUCAACUGGAAAUCCUUCAUAAUACGGCUUGAGACGGUGACCAUUCACUACAAAUUUCUUCUCCGUUUUCAAAUUUUGGAUCUCUACUGCACUAUAAUGAAAGACAUUAGUCACAAAAAAGGACCGAUCCAACGAGAACGUAGUUUACCUGGAAAUAAUUUCAAUUUGGAGUGGUACAGUAGAAUUUUUUACCCGCAGUCGAACGUCUUUCUAAGAUCUGCUGGUCAUGAAAAAUCUUAUUUUUCUUCUUAUAAAUCACCGCAUUAUCGUAUGCUUUAUUUCUGAUAUCCUCCAAUUCUUGUAAUUGCAACUUUCUUUGAACUCCGCCCUCCUCGAUGUCCAUAUUGCAUUGCUUGGCCGUCCAAAAUGUUCUAUGUUCGAACUCGACCGGGAGGUGGCAUGGUUUCCCAAAUACCAACCGGUAAGGGGACAUUCCAAUGAGUGUCUUGUACGUCGUCCUAUAUGCCCAUAGUGCAUCCUCCAGUUUAAUACUUCAAUCUUUCCUAUCGAGUCGGACCAUCUUCUCUAGAAUCAACUUGAUCUCUCAGUUCGAUGCUUUCGUCUGACCGUUUGUUUGAGAAUGGUAGGACGUGGAUACCUUAUGUAAGACGCCGUACCUCCUAAAAAGUACAGCAAUCGUCUUGUUACAGAAAUGGCUAUCUCGAUCACUUACAAUCGCUCGUGGCAUUCCAAAGCGGACAAAAAUAUUAGACCUUACGAAUUCUGCAACCACUUUGGAAUCAUUAGUACGAGUGGCUUUUGCUUCUACCCAUUUUGAGACAUAAUCCACGGCAAGUAAUAUAUACAAAAAAUUAUAAAAUGAAGGAAAAUAACCCAUAAAAUCAAUACCCCAAACGUCAAAAAUUUUAACAAAAAUCAUUGGGGUUUGGAUCAUUUGAUCCUUACGAGAAAUAUUACCUACUCGUUGACAUUUAUCACAGAACUUACAAAAUGAGUAGGCAUCUUUGAAGAGGGUCGGCCAAUAGAACCCGCUCUCUAGCACCUUACGCGCCGUUCUCUUUGGUCCAAGGUGAUCUCCACACGCAAAAAAGUGACAAUAAGUUAAAAUAGAUUGGAAUUCAAUUUCACUUACAUAUCUACGGAUGACUUGGUCGGCACCCUGCUUCUAGAGAUAAGGAUCAUCCCAAAUAUAUGACUUUGCAUCACUCUUUAACUUAUCCCUCUUUAUCUUAGGCCAUCCUGCAGGAAACUUGUCAGUGACUAGAAAAUUAACAAUAUCCGCAUACCAAGACAAGAAUAAAUUAACAGAAAAUAAAUGCUCAUCGGGGAAAGCUUCCCUCAACGGGAGGUCGUUUUCGGCGACUUGUACUCGACUCAAGUGAUCUGUUACCAGAUUUUUCGCCCAUUUUUUGUCUCUGAUUUUCAGGUCAAACUCUUGUAGCAAUAGUAUCCACCUUAUAAGUCACGAUUUUGCCUCUUUCUUGGUCAACAGAUACCGCAAUGCUGCAUGAUCAGAAAAAAUAAUAACUUUAACACCUAAUAAAUAAGACCAGAAUUUUUCUAAAGCAAAAACUACCGCCAAAAGCUCCUUUUCAGUAGUGAAAUAGUUUAAUUGAGCUCCGUUCAAGGCUCGAGAUGCGUAGUAUAUAGCAUGGGUUGUCUUUCCUACACUUUGACCCAGCAACGCGCCCACGGCAUAAUCGUUGGUAUCGCACAUGAUCACGAAUGGUAGGUUCCAGUUCGGAGGUUGGAUAAUAGGUGAGGACGUCAAUAACUCCUUUAACCUAUUAAACGCCUCCUUACAUGUUUCAACGAACUCGAAGGGCAUCUCCUUUUGCAGAAGUUGGAACAAGGGUGCUCCAAUUUUCGAGAAGUCUUUGAUGAACCUUCUAUAGAAACCUGCGUGACCCAAGAAGAAACGCACUUUCCGCACACUCGCGGGGUAAGAUAAAGUAGAUAUAACGUCUAUUUUUACUUUAUUAACUAAAUACCCCUAGAUGACGCUACAUGACCCAAAACUAUCCCGUAUUCGACCAUAAAGUGACAUUUUUUCCAAUUAAGCACGAGAUUAGCUUCUAUACACCUUACCAAAAUUAAUUUUAGGUUGUCCAGACAGUUAUCAAAACUUUCACCAUACGCACCGAAAUCGUCCAUAAAAAUCUCAAUAAUUUUCUCAACAUAUUCCGAGAAAAUACUUACUAUGCACCUUUGGAAGGUAGCAGGUGCAUUGCACAACCCAAAUGACAUCCUUCGGUAAGCAAAUAUUCCAAACGGGCACGUGAAGGUGGUCUUCUCCUGGUUCUCGGGUGCGAUAACAAUCUGAAAACAACCUGAAAAUCCAUCCAAAAACCAAUAGUAAGAUCGACCUGCUAAUCUCUCUACCAUCUGAUCAAUGAAAGGAAGAGGAAAAUGAUCCUUUUUCGUUACGGCGUUUACCUUCCUAUAGUCUAUACACUGCCGCCACCCGGUGGGCUUUCGAACUGGUACGAGCUCACCGUCUUGGUUUGACUCCACCGUUACCCCUGUCUUCUUCGUGACCACCUGUACUGGACUCACCCAAGGACUGUCUGAUAUGGCAAAUAUAAUUUCAACGUCUAGCAAUUUCAGGAUCUCUUUCUUCACUACCUCCAUUAUGAGAGGAUUUAGUCUCCUCUGAGCCUGCCGCACAGGCUUAGCACCCUCCUCGAGUCGAAUUCGGAGCAUACAUACGGCGGGGCUAAUUCCCUUGAUAUCGGCGUUGGUCUAUCCUAUAGCCUACUUAUGUUCCCUGAGAACUCGAAAUAAUUUGUCUUCCUAAACCGUUGAUAAACCCGCGGAGAUGAUCACUGAGAGUGUCUUUCCUUCACCCAAGUAUGCAUAUUUCAAAUGUGUCGGCAGGGGUUUCAACUCCAAGACGGCCGCCUACACCACAGAUGAAAUUAACCUUUGGUGAGGUUCGGGUGUAAAAAUAGGUACAAGACCAUACCUUGUUUUCGUGAUCAGCAAUGACUGCAAUGUUCCAAUCACACAUUUGAGCUCCUCACUCAAUUCCACCUCAGAGGUCAUCUCCGAUUCUAAGUGUCUGGUCAGGGCGAUUUCAAGUUAAUCCUUGCCUUCAAUUUCAAAAAUUUCCUGUACCGCAGGGUUAAUAAUAUUUAUAGAGAAAACAGAGCUAAUAUUCGAAUUUAAAGGAUACUUCAUGGUUUCAAAAAUGUUAAAAUGAACAAUAUCGUCAUCAAAUUUCAUGGACAAGAUACCCUUGUUAACAUUUAUUUUAGUUCUAGCUGUACUCAAGAAGGGUCUACCUAACAAUAAAGGUGAUGGGUUAUGGGAGUGUUCAUCCUCCAUGUCAAGCACAUAAAAAUCGGAUUGGAAAACCAAUUCAUUAAUUUUUACUAAAAUAUUUUCAACCAAUCCGUCAGGGUAUGCAUUGGUUCGGUCAGCUAAUUGGAUUAUUAUUCCAAUUUAUUUCAGAGGUCCUAAAUUCAAAGAAGCAUAUAUAGACUUUAGCAUGACAUUAAUUGAGACUCUUAGAUCUAAUAUAGUCUUUCCAAUCAAGAUAUUACCUAUCCUCCAAGGAAUAGUGAACAUACUCGAGUCCCCACAUUUGGGUGGAACCUUCCGUUGUAGAAUUGCUGACAUAUUCUCCCCCACUAAAACUCAUUCAUCUCCUUUCAACCACCUUCGAUUGACGCAUAAGUCCCUCAAAAACUUGGCGUUUCUGGGUACUUGUUUAAUCGCGUCCAGUAGGGGAAUGUUGAUCUCCACCUUGCGGAAUAUCUCCAGGACCUCUUUCUCCUUUUUCUGCUUCUUAGAUUUUUCUAGCCUGCUAGGAAAGGGAGGUGGAUUAGUUUUCACUCUAGUAAUCAGGUCCGGGAGUAUCUUUUGAUCUUUGUUGUCUCUGCCCUCCUCUUCCAAUUCUUUUUCGAUUCGUUUCUCGUCCUUGUUCUUAGAAAUCACCGGUUCAGGUUCUUGGACUUUUUUGCCACUCCUCAAGGUCAUUGCACUCACAUUAUUCGGGUUCAACUCAGGUUGAGAUGGCAGCUUCCCUUGAACCUGGGACUCCAAACGGUUGAUCGUGAUGGCCAUUUGAUUUACUUGAGUUUGUAAUGAUUACACUUGUCCCAAUUGAUUCCUCAUGCUUUGCAGGUCUAAAUUCGUCUUCUCUUGAUUCGCAAGUAAUUGCUUCAUCAUCUCUUCCAUGGACGGACUUGAGUUCGAAGGGGGUGGUGGUGGGUGAGGUUGGUACUGCUGCUGGUACCUUUGCUGCCUAUUUGGUGCGAAGUUGGACUGCAUGUUCCCUCCAUAACUGAAGUUGGGAUGAUCUCUCCAGCCAGGAUUGUAGGUGCUUGAGUAAGGGUAGUACUGCUUUCUUGGCGCGGGCGUGUGGCUAGCCAUAUUCACCUAUUCUGUAGUUUCUUCCUGAACCAUUGGACACAUCUCUGUAGAAUGACCCACGGCAGUGCAUACCCCACAUACUUUGGCUUGUGAGGCACUUCCCACAGCUAGUUGUAGUACGAAAGACGUCAAUUCGGAGAGUUGCUAUUGGAUAGAGGAUGUUUCUACCUCAUUCAUCUUACGGGUCGGGAUAUCCUCUCUUGAACCAGACUGCUGUGAAUUUUCAGCCAUCCCCUCAAUCAACUCCCAUGAUGCCCGAGGAGUCUUGUUCACUAACGCCCCUCCACUUGCAGUAUCGAUUAUACUCCUGUCCGUGAAGAGUAGCCCCUCAUAGAAAUAUUGGAUGAGCAGUUGCUCAGUUAUCUGAUGAUGAGAGCAUUUAAUGGACAGUUUCUUAAACCUCUCCCAGUACUCAUAGAGAGACUCGCUUGGGUGUUGUUUGAUACCACAUAUCUCUUUCCUUAGGCUGGCAGCUCGAGACGCUUAAAAGUACUUGUCCAAGAAUUUUUUCUUCAGCUGGUCCCACGUGGUGAUACUACCUGGUGGUAGGUAGUACAACCAGUCUUUCACGGAGUCCUUCAAAGAGAAGGGAAAGACCCUCAUUUUUAUCUGCUCUUCUGUAAUUUCCAAGGGUUUCAUACUGUUGCACACGAUAUCAAACUCCUGCAAAUGCUUAUAAGAUUCCUCACCUGGUAGACCAUGGAAAGAUGACAAGAGAUAAAUUAGACCAAAUUUUAGUUCAAAGGCAGUGUUAUCAUUCAAACUUGAGAAAGUAAUGCAUAAAGGUUGUUGAUUUAAAUUAGGAGCAGCCAACUCCCUUAGUGUUUGUGCAUUCGCCAUGGUGACUUCCUCUUGGUCCGAAUUACUUGAGUUAUCAACACGCAAAUUUGUCAACUCAACCUCUGGAUCAAGUUCUUGAGAUGCAACACUGGACUGCUCCUCUCUGAUCUGUCUGGUUUCUUUCCUCGUUCUACGCGCGAUCUUCUCUACUUCAGAGUCGAAAAUUAAUUCGCCUGUACGAGAAGAACAAUGCAUAAAUUAGAAAAAUACCAAAAAAUUAGAACAAAAUUGAAAUUAAAAAGAAACAAAUAAUUAAUGCCAGUCCCCGGCAACGGCGCUAAAAAUUAACAGGUGCCAAAUCUCUGCAAUAAUAAUAAUAAUAAUCUAACUACCACUAAAAGCAGUCAAUAAUUAAUCCUAGGUACUGGAGUAGGGACUCUAGGUGUGCAAUGGGUUACUUGAUUCACUCUGUUUCCGAAGAGUUUACUUAAUCCAAUAUACCAGAAUUAAUUAAUUGACAAAAUUUACUAAAUAGUAGACAGUGGCAAGCAGGGUCGUCUCCUCAGGGACUGAGGAUAUUUGUCUCUUUGAGAUUCCAAUUGGUAAAAGGGGAAUUUUAUCAGAAUGCAACUAAAAAUAAUUAAGCAAUUCAACUAAAAAUAAAUAAUUAACUAGCACGAAUACAGGCAUGAAUUAAAUCAAGGAUAGAUAAAUUCUAACCAAUGAUACAACUAUUCAGACACAGUCCACUUACUCGAUCAUUGAUGCAAGGGAGGUUCACUUAAUUUAUUAAUAUGCUAGUUAUAGUCGCCGACAAACUCUAACAACCAAUUUUUCCUUAAUUUAUUGAUAACCAAGGUGCGACCAUUGAUUACCCCUAACCAGAAAAUACUCCUAGGUACGAUCGUAGGAAUUAAUUUUUCAAUUGCAUUAAGAACUAGAAAAUCCUAAUCCCAAUCAAUAACACGCUACGAGAGUUAUUUAAAUUAGAUUGCACGUUCCCCUAGUGUGUAAACACUCCAGUUGCCACUAAUAUUAAUCAAUCAAACAAUUACGGAUUUAAUUGACCAAUUUGGCAAGAGAUUAAUAAGUUGCAUUGAACAUCGGGCCCUUGACAUCCACUUAACAAAAUAAUCCCACGACAAUUCAAAUAGACAACGUGCAAAUAUUAAUAAAUUAAGGAACGCGUGAAAACUAAUUAGAUCUCACAGAUAUUUGGAAUUGCGCCGUCGAGUUGAUCCUUGACUAGAUGAAAGGCUUAGCCACGCCGCAUAAAUAAAUCUCCACGCAAAUUAAUUGAUUGCAAAGGUAUCACGUUUUUCACUAGAAAGUAAGAAGUAAAAGAUAUUCUUCCCGUUGGGAAAUGUUGUCGAACACCUGGAAUGCGUUAAAGACCAAAAAAAGAAAACUAAAACUAUUGCUCCUAAGCUAUCCUAGCCUCUGUACGUUUUUUUUUCUAAAACAAUUGACUCCUCCUUCUUAUCUCCGUGGUCCCCACCGAAUUGAGAGUCAAAGGGCCAAAGAAUUGGAGCUCUGCCGAAAUCCUUGUUUUUAGUUUCCUCUUCAUAGGAAAACUCCUAGUCAGCAACUUUUCUAAUCAGCAAAAGAAAUGCAAUCCGUCUGUGGCACCCUGUGGGCCAGGGUUUGUGAAGCUCUUUGGAGUCUCCCACGUGUGGAGUAAUUUUCUUCAACAGAUCCCCCUUUUUAGCAUGUUUAAGUUCAACUUCCCUGUAGAUAGGUCCAAAUAACAAAUAUAAGUAUAUAUUAACAAUUUAAACAAUAUUUGGCAAGGACAAAGAGGAAAAUUAAUAAUAAAAUUACUAACAAUUAACACCUAUCAUUUUUCAAGAAAAAAAAUCCAAAAUCCUAAUUUUUUUCCUUUUGUUUUUAGAAAAGGAAAAAGUGGAAGGAGUUGUUCGAAAGCCAAAAAGCAAUAAAAUUGAUAACUUCUUUUCAUAUGAAUAUAUGAUGUUAAAAAUUUUAUUUACUCAUAAAAACCAUAAUUUUGGUUUAAGAAAAGCAAUACGUAAUGAAAUUGUAAAAUGAGAAGGUAACAAAGAUUAUAGUCUAAAGUACUCGUUUGAUAGGCUAGUGCAAUUUGGCGUUUCACUUGUACGCUUCAAAUGCACAUUAUCAAUCAGGUAUCCGGACGCUUGGCUAUGCAACUUGAACAAUCAUCACAUGUAGAACUGACUUUAUUCUAGUAUUUUAUAGGAAAAUAUGUACUCAAUUAGCUUGAAGUGAAUUAAAUCAUGAUUGUCAGCAUUUUAAACUUUUGAUUGUGAAGGCCUUAAUUGUUUGACAACUGCCAUGAUUAUUUUGGCUAAACCAGUCAAGUUGCCUCGUUAUACUUCAACUAGGAGGGAUAAACGCGCUUCGCGCGAUGAAAAUGUAAAAUGUCCUGCCCAAUUUUGAAGCAAUAAAAAUUGUAAUUUAUGUAGAAAAAGUACAUUUUUAGUAUAGGCAUUUCACAAGUUUAGAUAGUUAGAGCCUGUGCUCUAAAUCUGUAGAUGCCAAGAGGGAUAUAAUUCAUAUGUAAUCAUAUGGCGUAAUUCUUAUCUUUAUUUUAAUGGGAUCCUUCAUACAUAAAGUGCGUUUCACAGAUAAAAUUUCUUUUGAUGCAGAAAGUGUCCUUAAUAAUUUUCAUGCCACGAAGGACCACCAAAUCCAGUAAAAAUAUUUAUAGUUGAAAAUAUUUCUUCAUUUCUUGGUAAAUUAUUUUGAAUUACUACGUAGUAAUUUCAGUGUAGAUAGUCCAGAGUUUCCAUUAACAUACUGGAGGGUGCAAUGAUGUACUUUCCUCUUAUUUUCUGUUGAUUCUUGUCCACACAUUUUUUUGGUAUUUCCAUGCAGAUGAAGCCAAAAACACAUUACCAAGGAAUAUUUAGACAAAAAGUUUGGCUCCUUUGGUGUUUGCAAAUCAUAUUCAUCCCAAAGGAACUGCAAUGACUAAUUAUUAGUUAAAAAGAUAGAGAGGACAUCAAAGUAACCAAAGAAACUUUGCAAACAUUCACUACUAAAGCUUGAUGAGUGCAGCAAGUAGGUUAACAUCAAUUUUGUGGCUAAACACCCAUUAGCAAAGCCUGAAUUGCUAAACAAAUGCAAUAACUUGUUGAACAUUAAACUUCUAGUGCUUUGAAUGGAGAAAAAGGAGUAAAAGCAAACCAAGUUGUUUUGUCUUGUUUCAUUUCUUGGUUUAAUGAAGUGCAGAAUAAAAAAAGUAAAUGAACAAAAAAACACAGUACAAAAUCUGCUAUGUGGAGCAACAUGAGACCCAUAUUACAAGACUUGUCAAUUUCACAAAGUUGAAACCUCUUGAAUUCAACAGGAACAUAGACAAAGAUAACAAGAAACCCUUUCAUUCAAAGGAAUCUAGGCUCUAAAUUCUUCAAUUUAUCCUUGUCUUCUCUAAAACCUGACGCAGCAUGCUCUUGCAAAUACACAUAAUGCUUAAAACUAUCAUUUUUCCCUUCAUUUGCCGAAGAAUAGGGCAAAAGAAACAGGGCACAACACUUCCAAGCAGUUUUUUUAACAAAGGAAAAACUGUAAUGCAACCUCCCCAGCCAAAGUCAACUAUGGACAGUUCAUUUAUAUGGCUAUAGUUCAUUUAUUGCAAAAAACAGCCAAGAAUUUGGUAGUUACAAAUAAUCAUCCACAAAACAAAUUGUCAUAGAACGGAAAAGCAUCAUGUUCCAUAAAUAAUUAGAUACAUAUACAAAACGUAAGCCAUGUACAAACUGAAAUGGCAAUUGAGCCAUAUCAAUUAGCAACCUAGCUACUACAAAAGUUUCUGCAGUUAAGUUCUUUAACAAUGAUAAAUACAUAUUAGACAUUAACUAAAAACGUCUAAUAAAAUUGUUAUCUAGAAAAAGGCUAAAAAAAAAUAAAAGAUUACAAUAAUCAAUUUAACAUUGAGCUGCAUUCCUAAUCAGAAAACAUGAAUGUGUCACACAGGCAGGACAACAGAUUCUUUCCUCUUAGCCGCCCAGUGACACGAUCACUCAAUUCAACGUUCUGCAGCAAAAACUCAAAAGCAUAGUCAUAAACUGCAUAAGUAUGAACAAACAAUACAUUGCUAGUCUGCACACACUACUUAUUCAUAGUCAAAAUCCAAACCCUUAGCUGUCUUACAAUAACCAAUUUAACAGUGAGCCAUCCCUAAUCAAACCAGAUGAAUGCCUAACACAAGAUCACUUAGUCUAACAUUCUACAGCGAUGAAAACAGAGACAUAAACAUAACUACAUAAGCAUAAAUAAUCAAACAAAAUAUAAAAUACAAAAACAAUCCUAAUAUACCUCAUGUUUAACUUCAUAAACAUGAAAAGCAGCCAAGCUAAUCAAUCGCACGGCUUAGCUGCAAAAAGCCAGAACAUUCACAAAGCCUAAAUCAGGAAAAAUCUCUUUUAGAGAAGAAAAUAACUGUUAGUCUGCCUAAAAGGAUUAGUCCCACAAUACAAACCAUAAAAACCAUUAACUCAUGUCAUUUUUUCGUAAUCCAAAUUCUAUUCCUUCAAUAAAAGAAGAGAAACACACAGAAUUUGAGGUUUACACAAAAUCAACAGACAACAAGCACAAAAUUUCCUUCACACAUCACAAUCUCAAACACCAAAAGCAACUCAAAGCAAUGACAAAAUUUAACCGAUUACAAUAGUCACCAGUACAAAAUUUCUGAUGGAAUCCACUCAUUAAUUGCAAAUGACUGAUCCUUCAAGCCUCAGAACCACUAAGCACCAAAGCAAAACAUAACAAAAAAAAAAGAAAAAGACAGCCUCGCAUGCACAGAAAUGAGAAGAGAUGAGGAAACCAAGCAAAAAAUGCUAAAUCACCCAAUUAAAGAAUCUCCCCGGGGAAAAAAUACAACCAACAAGUCUAGAUCAAAGCAACAAUUCAAAAGAUUAAGCACAUAAUAAAAAUCCCCUCUGAACAUAACUCAUUCCUGGAAAAAUGUCAAGACAAUUAAUCAACAUACAAUUUUUGGUACAGAAGGCUCGAAAAUUUCACAAAUCUUGAGGGAAAAUAUGUCCACCAUGGGAGAAUACCAAGAAAAUUAAUGGUGACUAAGUUUUACCUUUUAACUUUAGCUGCCAGAUUUUCGCUAAAGCUAAACACUCAAUGGAAUUGCUAUCAAAUAUACUGAAAUUCUUAACAAAAUAGCAGUUUGAUGUCUAAACUCCCUUUUUCAGGUUUUAAUCUAACUAAUGAAGUUAGUGAAGUUGCUCAAAUCAUAUGCCAAAAUCAUGAAUAUCCACAAACUUAGUAUCCAAACAUUUCUUGAUUAAAACAACUAACCAGUAAACCACAAAUCCAUUGUCAAAGGCUGAAAAAUUAGGAACAAGCUCUCUUAUUUAUUACAAUAGAAACCAUGGCAUAAAGCAAUACAAAAGAUAUUUUUUAGCAUAAAGCACCGAAAAAGGAUCCGUGGUUAAGUUUGUCAAUAGAAACCAAACUUUUUUAUUUUAUUUUGUCAUUCUCCUACAGACAACUUGUUAAGUUUAUUCAGGCCUUUAGUUUCAUUAAGGCCCAUAAAAAUUACACAUAAUACAUUGACAGGCAACCAUAUCACCAUACACGUAGACCAGAUAGUAUUAACCACAAAUCCUAACUUCAUGGUAUCUAAGAUUUGACUGUACCCUUUUUCAUUUCGGGGCAGGAAGAUGAUAGAUGAUAGAUGAAAGGUUGUGUCUUAUCUUAUGUUUAGAGUCCAUCAAUUCUUAGUGUAAUACGUAAUAAGAAAAUGUAGUACGAAGAAUGAAGAAUGCAGUACGAAGGUAAAGGAACUGACCACGUGAGACAUGGAGUAAUUGGUUAGAUGGCAUGUCUGAACAUGGACCGCUAAAAGCUUUCUCGCAUCCAAAAUCUUGUUCGUCGAUAUUCCCUGCAGUAAAAUGUCCUCCAAUUGGUGCACUUUGGUGGUGUUAACAGAAUUGGCAGAAGGCUAGAACAUGAACUUACCUGUAAGUGUCACUUGUGAAUCCUCAGGUAUAUCUACUAUUAUUUCUAUAACUGUAGGCAUUACUGCAAGAAAGGCCAAAACAGCUGUAAUUAAUCAAGACUGAACUAACUAAUUGGAAGACCAAAAAAGUGCAAAAAACUGAGGCUUGUUUAACAGUGCUUUCGACCAACAACAUGACAAUAGGUAAUAGUGCCACAAAACAGAAGAGUAAAAGGGAACUAAACUCGGUGUAUAAUCAGUGCAAUUGAGAAGUUUUGGCUCAAAAAAUGUUUUGUACUUGAUGCAAUUGUUAUGAUAAUAUGAAUACUAUUCUGUCAUCAUGGUGUUUGGACUAAAACAUGGAAAAGUGACCUUUUACAAUACUAAGAACCAAACAACACAAGAAAAUCUCAGAAUAGGAACUUGAACUGCUCUUGAUUCGUGAUGCAGCAAUAGAAAAAUGAAACAGAAUUAUUCCCGAUGCCACAGAAAAGCUUACCCACAACAUCUUCUCAAUUGAAGGUGAGCAGAGAAAAUGACAAGCUCUUGCUUUCUCCUCAUUUAUACAUUGCUCAACCUAACACACAGCUCAGCACCCAGAAAAGAAAACAAAAUAAAAGGAAGUCAAUAAAGAAUGACAAAUAUAGCAAAACUGAAAGACAGAGACAAAUAGAAUUUGCAAGAAAAACAAGAACAAAAAAAUUACCUGACGGAAGAAACUCCUAUCAGACCUCGCACGUAAAAGGAUCUGCAGAAAAGAGGAGCUUGUUAAAAAAAAUAAAAAAAAAAGAAGAGGGAAAUGGAGGAAAUAUUGAAAUACCAAUCUAAAGCAUAUAUCUUCAAGUGCUAGUACCCAACAUCCAAUUCUUGCAUCAAUAAAGUGGAAAUCUUUGAAACCCCACCUCACGGGCUCAUCCAAGCUACAGAAAUAAAAAAUCUAAAAAUUAAAAAGAAUAACAUAAUCCUCAUAAACAACAAAAUAGUAGUAGCAAUCAGAAAAGGGAAAAAAAGCAAAAAAAAAAAAAAAAUAUCCGACAAGAACAGAUAGUGUACUCAUUGUCUAUUUUUUAAAAAAAAAUGCAAGAUCUGACAAGAAGAGACGGUAAGAUCUGACAAGAACAAGAAUGCACGAAAAAAAAUGUGGAAGAAAAGGAUGAUUAAAGGAACAGAGAGAGAGAAACGAAGACGGUGGAAAGAUCUGGAGAAGAGACGGCGGAAGAAAGAAACGGCCGAGAGAUUCUUGUGUUUUAUGCGGCUAACCCUAAGCCGAGAAAGAAAAUGGACACACCUCUUAGAGGAGAGGGAGACGGUGUGGUGGAGAAAGUCAGAGGAGAAAAUAAAGAGGUCAAGAUCGAGUGAGAGAGAGAGAGAGAGAGGAAGAAGAAUGAUCGGAGAGAAAGGUUGAGGAGAGAGACGAGGAGAAGAAAGGGAAGGGAAGAGAGGCGGCGUUUUGGUCUGACCUAGGGUUAGAGUUCGAAGAGUCAUGCGCGAGAAACACAUUGCGAACAACACAAAACGACGUCGUCAGGAACCACGCACAGCGCACGUGAGAGGACGACGAAAACCAUCCAGGUCAUCAGAGCUCUUCGCUCUUUAUCUACUUAUGUUGAUAUGUUGAAAAAAAAAUCUCAAUUCAAUCUUUAACAUCAAUAAGUGACUUGAUUUAAUCCCUUGGAAAUAACUCAAGUCAUUUUUACGUUGAAUUAGCAGCCAAAAGAUUUAAUCGUGUAUUUCCAAUAUAACGGGGUCUAUGUGUUAUAUUAACGAUAUAUUGUUGUCAUCAUCAGAUCAGACUAUAUGUUAAGUUUUUGAAUUCCAACUCUUUCAGCAAAGGUGAUAUCCAAGCAACAAAAUUUCUUCAAAGACGUCUAAUAAAGAGAUUACCAAGUACCCAUGUUAUUGUUUAAGCAAUAUUAGAAGUAUGUUUUCAUAAACAGCAUUUUAUUUGGGUUGAAAUCAAAUCAACACCUAUAUGCUUUUUAACAUUUAUUUGGGCUGAAACCAAACAUCUUGUUGGCAAGGUCGUAAGUAACCCGAAACCCCUGCUGCUGCGUGUUGCCGAUUAUUGAGACACUUUGAGAAGUGGUCUUAAAAGCCAAACAGAACGUGCCGUUGGAACCAGCACGAAACAGGUAAUUUUGAGGUUUCAGCGACAGCGUCUUGCCCCCGGAGAACUGAAACGACAUCAUUGGGAAGCCAUCUCUGGUGGGCGUAGAGGAUAGAUCAUAACAAGUGUCGAGAUCACCGAUUCCAGCGGCGGGAGGCAAGUUUUUAGCGUACUUAACAAAGGUGUCGCGAACCGAGUUAUAUACCUGAGCUGGCAACGCCGUGAUGGUGGUACCCGAGUCGACGAUGAUUCCCCCACGCCCAUCUUCGCCUAUUUGAUAAUCCGAUGCAGGAAUGGGCACUUGUUCUCCAUUAAUAGUGAUCCCCCUGAGUUCCACGUAGUAAUAAAUCUCAGAUUUUGGGUUCAUAAUCAAGGGAACGAGGAUUGAGUCACCGGGUGGAGCUGAGUUAAACUCGAGAGUCGAGGACGAGCUGGAGUCCAAAUCCACGAGGCAGUAGGAGAAAGACUUCGCCUGAAUUUGAGAAGGAAAGCCUACUGCAGUGCCCCCAAGGCCAAGUAUGCCAGCUGCCUUGCCAAAUCGGCCUUGAUUCUCAAGCCCGCACCCGAUAGCCACUUUCUGAACCGAACCCGAACUCCCGAACGACACUGUUUCAGUGGCAAAUUCUCCAAUACUGACGGAAUUAUCCCCGUACAACGCUCCGUAGAUGCAAGUGUUGUUUUGGCCGCACUUGUAAUCCGGGCUCAAGCCGGUGCACUGCUGCGAUGUGCAGGAUAAAGGGCUGUAAGAUGAGGAUCCGGAUGGGUCGAAGAUCGGGUCGGAUUGGUUAAAGCAUGGAUCGCAGGGCAGGCAUUGGAGCCAGUUGAUUUGGCUACCCGUAUCUGCUAUCAGGUAGUAUUCUUUCACGGGUUGGCCCACUCCGACGCGAGCUGCGUACGCUCAGCCAGAUGGAGUCAGGGGAGCUUCGAGGUCCUCCGGUUGGACUUGGACGUCGGGUUUGACGCCAUGAGGGCGGUUGAAGGCGGAGAGAGCCCGCUCAAUGUUGGAGUUGAUGACCUCGGCUCGGGCCCGGUCACUUGCGAGCCGGGAGAGUACGAGGUCGGAGUAGCUGUCGUAUGGCGGCUUUAUGACGGAUGAAUGCGGAUGCCGGGAGAGGGACAAAACGGAGAAGGUGGAGGUGGGCUGAGUUUCUUCUGUUGACAAGAGUCGAAGUCUCUUGAAAACUGAAGCAGACACCACUUGAGGUGAAAAAGGACUGAGGGUGAAGGAGAAGAAGAAGAAGAGGAUGAUGAAGAUGUUAAUGGACGGAAAUGGGCUUGGAGCUUUUCGAGCCAUGUAAAUGUUUGUGGUUUUUGUCGCAGCAGACAACAAACAAAGAAGACAAGUGAUGAGAAGUUUGGGAGAUGAGCUUGGGUUUAUAUACACUUACACGUACGUCGAUCUGCAUGCAGGGCAUCAGUAGCGUAUUACUAUUAUUUAUUGAAGGUACAUAUCACAAAGAUCCAUAUCAAUUUAAAUUCCAUAGAAAAGUAAAAGUUUGGUACCAUAACAUACAAGAAAGAGAGUACAUACACAAUUAAUCACCAGUCCUUCAAAUCAAGAUAUGUUCAAUGUGUAAGUGAGAAUGUACAACUGAGAAUGUUCAAUUUUCGACUACGAGCGUCGUUACCGUAUGAAAGAAAGGGAAAGAACGAGAAGAUUUUAACAACCUUUAAUAGGCUUCUUAGUGGAAAUUUUGAGUCCUGGGAGGGAAGACUUUUUAGAGUCUUGCAGGCGUCCGCCACAUCGCGAUAGUUGGUCUUUCUGAUACAGGCAUAUAAAAAAGGAAUCAAAUUGGAAUUUACGGUGGAAACAAGGUAGAUGCGCCAACGGCAGCUGGUGUUUCAUUUUCAUGAUACAGACUGGGGAAAUUUUGGAGCAUCCAUGCCAUUGGAUAUAUAGUAGGCUUGGUGUUAUACAAUGCAAAUUUAAAAAAUAAAAAAAAAAACUUUAAAUCAAAAUAAAUCUUGACCUAUCAAUUAUUGAUUUAAGCUAUCCAAACACUGGCAUGUAACAUGCAAAUAAUCGUUACUCAUAGGGCAUCAUUCCUUUCCAUCUCACACGCAGAUUUGGCCAUUCAUAAAUUCCUAUAUUGAUCAUCUGCUUGACCUUUGGAGAGGGUCUUCAAAAAAAAAAAAAAAGGACCUUUUGAGAGGAAAGACUUAAAGGAGAGAAGACUUCGAUAGUUGCCGAGUCGGUCUUCUCGAACGUGGUUCGCGAUGUUUGAUUCUUUGUAGUGAGGAAUAUAUUUUUCUCCAGACAAAGGCUGUCAAGGUAGAGGGGCCAGCAAUGACUGUAAUUUCGUUUGCAUCAUAUACGGCUUGACUGCUGCGGUAAAUCGCCUAGUUUAUAAACACAAUCAUGGUUAUGGAUGUUUAGAUGUCAAAACAGAGGUGUGGAAAGUUAAGGGAAAAGACAUUGAAGCAUUUGUGGCCACAAACGGCAGGGGAAGUGUGUUGGCUGGGCACGUGGAAAGGGCUUUUGUGACUUGUAACCGGAAGAGCUAUUGGGCGUUGAAGGGGACUCCAUGUGCGCACGUGAAAUGUGGAGGGGGCGAAAUUAAGCAACUGGCAAAGUGAGGGUUUGUACGCGAAAGUACGGGAGGGAAAGUAGGCGCGAAGCUUACUGGAUAAGCUAACAAGAGCAGGCGUAUUAGAAAGGAAGAAGCGCCAAAACCGGAGCAGGAGGAAUAGCAGAAGAUAGGGAUUUGUUAUGGAGCUGGCGGCCGAAAUAGAUGCUUCGGAUAUGCAGUGGGAUAGCGAAGGAGAAAGCGAAAAUGUAGUAUCGCUGAUGCAUGAGAGUGGAACACCUUCGAAUUAUAAAAGUUGCAGCAGUGAAAGGAAGGGCAUUCGUCGGACGGCGGAAACAAUGGUAAGCCACUCAACUCAUUCCGUGAAGAAUAUGGUGGAUUGGCUCUCGGAUGAGCAGCGGCAGGCUGUCAGAGACUUUGGAUUCGGUCCAAUUUUGAAUGUGAAGGGAGUAGAGGUUGACGAAGAGAUGUUGAACUGGCUGGUGGAUAACUUUGAUGUAGAUCGGAGGACACUGAACGUUCAUGGGUACUGUCUACAGGUGACAGCCGAGGAUGUGGAAUGUGUACUUGGCUUGAGCAGCCGUGGGAAAGAUAUUGAAAGCGAAAAGCGAAGGCAAGAGAUGGAUACAGAGUUGGAAAGAGAAUUGAAUAUCAGAAUAAAUAGCGGUGAAAUUGUAGUGGAGGAAUUGAGGCACAGUAUAUGUAGUUUGCAUAACGAAGGCUUAGAAUUCAAAGUGAAGUUCGUACUGUUUGUUGUUGGUAGGUUGUUAGCACCAAGUUUGGAUGACACAGUGAGCCGGGAUCUGGUGGCUGUAGUGGCUACAGAGGAGAAUAUGAAAAAUUUGAACUGGUCGAAAUUCAUAUUAGACAAUUUGGUGAAGAGCAUCCGUGAUAGAGACGGCAACGGAAUAGCGGGAUGUGCACUUUUCUUGAUGGUAUAAGAAAUACGCACCAUUUUGUAUUAGAGAAAGGAAUUGCUGGAAUAAUGAAAUUAUAGUUUGAUAUAAAGGACCUGUAAAUGAUGGUAGGCGUGUUUGUCCAUGCAGAUUUACUAUCUGGAACGAUUCUAUAUCGAGGGUGAGAACGAGUUUCGCAAGUUCCAGCCGAGAGGGCCGAGGCUAAGGUUUUGGGGAAGGUACGAGAUUAAUGAAAGCGUGCGAAUAUUGAGGAGGAAUCACAUAUUUGAGGGGGAACAGGUAAUGUAAAAUCCUUUCGUGUGAAUUGUUGUUGAAAUUGCAAGCUGCAUUUUGUGACGUUACUAGUAGUACAAAACUGAAGGCUUGUAGUAACAGGGCAAUGUGCAGUUUUACAAUAACAUAAGCUGUAGAGAAGACAUCGAUAGAAGACUGAUUGAAAUUGAAUGUGGUAAUAAAGAUGUGAAGGAUAGUAUUGGUAGAAUGGAAGCAAUGAUUGAAUGUCGUUUCGAAAGGCUGAGGAGCAUGUAUGAAAGUGGAAGGGUGUGCAAAACAAACCGGGCACUUGGUGUGGAGGGUGGGCAGAAGGACGAUUGGCGUGGUAAUGUUAAAAGAGGGAGUGAGUUACAUAAGAUUAGUCCUACAACGCCAGAUGUUAGGUCCAAAAGCAGGAGUGAAAAUGAUAGAGUAACUACGAAUAGUACUGAAAUGGGUGAAAAGAGUGCAUAAAAAAUUACAAAGUGGAGGAGUAGAAAGAGACUAAGGAUGGACAAUACGGAGAAGCCUGUGUGGGAAGACAAACAAAACAGAAGGUAAGGUAAAAGAAUAAAGGUAUGCAUCGGUUUGUGGCAAGGUAUUUCGUAGCAUUAGAAAAGUAAAGUAUAAAUUGUAGUUUUAUGUACAGAUGGAUAGCAGUGGGAUGAACGAGCGUCAAACGAAGAUGGUUGCUUUAUUGGCAAAGGUGAGUAUUCCAACGUUCCAGAAUUAAUAAAGUAUGGGAAAAUAUAGACAAUGAAAGAUGAAAUAUUUUUGUGGUAGCAGGAAACGAGGCUGGCAUCUAUCGGCAAAAAAUUGAGUGAGGGACGAGCAAAAAUACUGAAGUUCUUGUUUGACACUCAGCUGUCGCAAGGGUAUGUACUGGAUUUGUUAAAUCAACAGUUCUAUUUUGUUUUAUCCUUUAUUUGAAAUUGCAAUGGCAAAAGGGACAGAAAAGUAUUUGCAAUUAUAAGGUUGACUAAAUAUGUAGUAUGAUUAUCCCCAUAGGGGAGAGGGCAUAGCAACGAAAAUGUUGGAAGCAGUUAAAAUUGGUUUACAAGUGAGCAUAGAACUUACAUUUUGUGUGCUGUCAAUCAUGCCUGCUUAUAUAAAAAGCAAGGGUAGGUAACUUAGGUGAACAUAUAGAAAAAAAGGUGAGUAUUCAAGAAGUUUGAGAAUGGAACUACAAUGAUAACUCAAUGACCCUUAUGGUGAGUACAUAACCGCCUUAGGCUAACUCAAUGACCCUAAGGACUGAUUGAGUCAUUGAAACCGUGAUUGCUGGUUGUAUUAGUGAGGAAGAGCGAACCAACUCUGUCCGUUUUAACUCUCAUCAUUGAAAAUGAUGAUAUCAAGUUUGUAGAUUAUGAAACCAUAAUACAAAUAGGGAAAAGAUUAAUGUACCCUGUUGUAAUGACAGGGAAGUACUGGUGUCAAUUAAGGGGCAGACAGCAAGCCGGGAUGCAAUGGGGUCCUUGCUUCCUGAAAAACCCAUGGCAUGCGAUGUGAGUAAAUCGAGGGAUUGAAAUUUGGUGGUGUUAUGUGGACUGUUUCAUGGAGGACGAAGUGAUGUGACUUGAGUUUGGUGCAGAUAAUAAAUUGCUAUUGUGCGAUGAAAACAGCAAGGCAGCAAAGGCGUGGUGUAGAUCAGUCUAUUCGAUGGUGGUUCAUGCCAACUUGGUUUCAGGUACAAGUGUUCGGCCAAAGUUGGGGGGUGUGAGUACGUACAUUCAUAUUAAAAUGUCAUAUUUUACUGUCGUGUUGUAGCAAGAGAUUUUGGAGUUCAACAAAUCAGCAGACGAGCUCUACUGUACAUAUCUACAGGAAUGUAAAGUAGGAGGUAAUAUAAAAAAGUGUGAGAAGGUACGAGAAGCUGCCCUGUUAUGUAGCAUAAUGGAAUAGAUACAGAUUCCCAUGACGAUGACCAACUAACCGCCGUUAUGCUUCAGAUAUUCAUGCCAAUGUGGCACAAUGAGCAUUGGUAUAUGUGUGUGGUGGACAUGGCAAGCGAAGAAGUAUUAAUUUAUGAUUCAAUGAGAGGACACGAGGAAACGGAAAUUAAUAGGCGCAGCUCCGUGGAGACAAUGGUAAACUAAGUUGGUUUGUCAAACAUUUCAUGAACACGACCAUCACCUUUACAAUUGGUGGCAGUAUACUUAAAAUCGCAUAUGUUUUUGUUGUAUGGCCCUAAGAUUGAAAGGUUGGAAGCAGCGCUGACUUAUGGUUUGGAGGGGCAGUAUUCGUCAUGCCUUUGGCUGUACAAAAUAAAAGCUGCAGCCACAUGUCCAUAGCAACGGAAUGCGUAAGUUGCACGUGCAUAGGUUUGGAAGUUUUUGACAUGGUUCAGCAACGGUUGUGUCUAAAUUUGCGGUUAUGAUUUGUAAUGCAGGUGGGAUUGUGGGUUAUUCAUGCUGAAGUACAUGAAUAUGUUAUCAAGUGGAAUUGGAAGCUGGAAAUGGAAUGAGGUAAGCAAAAAGGAAUGGCGCCCUGUGGUGUAACAGUUGUGUUUGCUUGCUUUGGUUGCGAACGAUGGAGAUAGUAACAAAUUUAUCGGUGCAGUACAAUUCGGAGCAGGAGCGGCGCAAAGUAGCACUGUCUUUGGUUCUGGAUGAUGCCAACGUUGUCCGUCAUCAAAUUAUGCGGAAAGCGAACAUGCACACCCGGUUGGAGAUGAAUAAAGUUGAGAUUGGAUGAAGGUGGCAAGAUAGAGAGACAAAGUAGCGGCAUUUUGUGGAAAGGGGCAUGUAAUAGGGGUUGUCAUACUCGGAUGCACAUCGUCGUAGCCCAAAAUGUAGAAGACGGAGGCAGUGCAAAAGCUGGCAUAGUAAGGCAAGCGGUUGGUGUGUAUGUAUGAGUUUCAUUAGAGGAAGGGAAAGCAAAAUUCAACCGAGCAAACUCGCCGGCGGUGGUGUGGGGAGACCCUGUAAUGGGGAUAACGAGUACCACAAUGUUCAUGUGGUGGAGAGUUAAGAGAAGAUUCGUGGUUGGUUAUGACAACCGCACAGUGAUCCAUUGUAUGCACUCAUUAGAAAGAAAUGGAAAAAGAUUGAAAUAUUUGAUUUGUGGUAAUUAAUAAUUAACGCGUUUAAAUAUAUGUUUCGCGAGAGUUUAUGAAUUAGUUGUGUUGACGUAUCCGAAACAAUUUGUCUUAAAACGGAGUUUAAACCAGCAAUAGGUUAGUUUCUUGCUUUGCAUUCUAUGCUAACGGGUAAACGGAAGUCAAGUAUAAUAUCGAUCCGAUUUAUCGAACAAAUAAAUUAGGCCAUACAUAGCUGGUGUUUUAUUGCAAACCGUGUUGAAUUAAAGUUUAUCCGAUAAGUAAAAUUGUAAGUAUGGGAUAUUGGUACUCUGUUGUCAUAGCGGAGGAAAUUGUUUAAAGAGCUUAUUGGAAAAGGGGUUUAAUUUACACUUAGCCGAUAAAUGAAUUUUUUUUUUACGGAAAAUGGUAACCUAGUACGGAGAAAGCCAUAAAGAGCUGCUCUUUUACAAAGAGCUGAUCUUUAUUCAACAACGGCUUUAACUAUAUUUCAUCCGGUAAAUACAUUUGUGUUUAAGGCACCUGGAUACUACUCUGUCAGUGUAACAGGGUCGCAAGCCAUAAAGAGCUGAUCGACAGUUUUCAACAACGGGUUUAACAGCAAUUUCGUCCGAUAAAUACAUUUGUAUUUGAUGCACGUCGGGGACUGUGUCAGUUUAACGGAAGAAAGCCUUAAAGAGCUAUUCUUUAAUCAACAACGGGUCUAUUUUUUUGCUUUUCGAUAAAUGAAUUUGUAGCUGAGGAACUUGGGUAAUUAGGUGACUGUAUGAAGGAAGAAAGGCAUAAAGAGGUUGACUUUUAUAACACAACGCCUUUAAUAAAUUCAGAAAUUUCCUAAAUUUCCCACUAUAUCCUAAAAUAAAUUUCUAAAUGCACUGCAAAGCUUUCUCGGUGGCGCUGUCACUGUGUCAUGUCCUUUCUCAAAUUCGAGCAAGUCGAGGAAUCACAAAACUGGGCUUUGUUCCGUUCGUCACCCAUAAUUCACCAAUAACUAAAAUUUUAACGUUCUUCACCUAUAAUUCACCCGUAAUUCUCUUGUUCCGUUCUUCACCCAUAUCUAAUAUUUUAUAUAAUUAAAAUUAUAUAAUUUAUUAAUAUUAUAUACACAUAUACAUUAUACGGGAUAAUUUCACAAACCUCCCCUGAAUUAGCGUAUGGAAAAAUGGGAAACUGGAUAAUUUAUGAACGAAAGCCAUAAAGAGCUGGUGUUUUAUCAGACAACUGAUUUAUUUUUAUUCGAUAAAUAAAUUCUUUUAUGGAAAAGGGUACUCUGUUCUUAUAAUGGACAAAAGCCAUAAAGAGCUGGGUUUUUAUUGGAAAACGAGUUUUAAUAUAUUUUAUCCGAUAAAUAAAUCUAUUAAUGGAAAAAGGGGUGCUUUGUUCUUAUAAUGGAGGAAGGUCAUAAAGAGCUGGUCUUUUAUGGGAAAGUGAUACAUUACGAAAGUGACCGGGAUUGUUGUGUUAUGAAAUUAUCCCAAAAUAUUUAGAAUUAGUUUAUUUAUUUAUUUAAAUAAUUAUAAUAUUUAUUUAUAUAAUACAUUAUGUAAUUGUACUAAUAUUUUUUAUAAUUAUAGAGAAUAUUAUAUAUUAAGUAGUAUAAUUUUUAGUAUAUUUAUAAUAACAAAUAUAAGUAUAAUUAUAUAAUAUAUUAUUACCACAUACACAUAUAUAUUAUAAAUAUAUGCACAUAUAAUAUACAUUUAUAAGUAUAUAUGUGGAAUGUCAAUGAGCUGAAGGUUAACAUUUUGAGAAAAAUUGGGCAAAUAGGUCAAGAUGCAAGAAAAAAAUAGCAACUUAUUAUUUGGAAACACAACUUAUUAUUAUUCACCUUGUAGGAAUGCAUAUGCAAUCGUUUUAGAAAUUUGUCUUGCUCAAAUAUUCUAUUUAUUGGAACAAGAAAACUAAUCUUUGGACUUUGAUUUAAAAAUUGAAAGGGCAAAUAUGUAAAGUUGCAUUCUCAUAAAAUUCUGUCUUUCCACAUCUCUCCAACUCAUACAGACUUCGUGUUGGUUAACAGAUUCCAUUGCUGGACUUUAUUUUGGUACAGACGCAAAGCAAGGAGCCUAGCUCAAUUAAUGUGAACCAUUGCUCCCUGACCAACUGUUAGUAUUGCACGUAUCCGAGAGGUUAAGCAGACGGACAGAUUUAGUGUGUGACAUUUAGAUCCUUAAUGUUUAGACGAGAAGUUGCCAACAAACAAUUACAAUACUAACAGGCUAAAGUUACUACAUGCCAACGUUUGUAGCAGGAGUAUAUGGCUGACGCAUCCUGCAUUUGACAGCAAUUACAGCCAGUUAACCAAUAAUUUUUGCUCAUCCAAAUGCAAUAACCUGCAGACAAUAGGGUGAUUUUCAACUGCCGGCAGUGUUAGAAUUUGCAUAAAAAAAACUCAGCUUGUAUCCUUUGCAAACAAAAACAGAAGUAGGGGAAGAAAGUAGUACCAACAUAUAUGAAUUAGACAGGCCCAGUGUCUCACUAAAGCACAACAGUUUUGCUUGUGUGUCCCAUCAGAAGAGAGGUUCUCUCCUUCCAAUGGUUUGGAGAAGCCUCCGUACAGUGAACGGUCCAUAAACUGAUCUUCCUCAUGCUUUCAAAUUUUCCUUUUUUUCUUGCUCUAUGCAUAUGAUCAGACGCAAUUUUAGCUAUCAUAACGAGGUGUUGAACUAUUGUGAACAUAUUCCUGAACAUGAAUGCAAUGGAUACCUCUGGAGAAUAUCUGUUUCGGGCUUCCCGCUUGCGCGUCACUUGCUUUGUUGUGUUAUGCAGUCCAAGCUUGCUGACAACAUUAACAUAAAAGUGCCAAUCCACACUGCCUUCUGUUACAGGUGAUUGUCCAAAACGGUUUCGCUUAAUGAAAUCUCGUACAUUAUCAGCACUGGCCAAUUUCUUCAGAUGUCGUACAAAAUCUCCUUCAGGAUCUGCAAAUAUGUUUUGUGUCAGGCUAGCUGAACAGGCUGUGCUUACCGUAGCAAAAGCCACAUUUCAAAGCAUCGCGAACCGCGUUUUACCCAAAUAAUUGUCUUCCACAGUGUAAGAUGUCUAAGAGGUGGGGAAGAUUGCAUUGUACGGCUGAAGAAUGAGUAAUAUGGAAACAGUUAGCCCUUAUACACAUAUUUGUGCAUACCGGAACAUAUACAUCAUAACGAUCAGUGGGUAUGGUGCACUUACAGAAUUAAGGAAUGAUUUAUACGGAGAAUCAUCGACUAAUAUCGUGUUAGAGCUGUUGUACGACUUGUAUUCUCCCCACACAUGUUUUAGGUCCUUAAACAUGACCGUUUUGCUUGGAUUUUCCCUAAGGCUGGUUUGUGUCAUAGUGCACCGCGACUGAUCCUGCACAAUAUUGAUUGUUCCCGACUUUCCUUUAUCAGAAGUCUUGCACACGGACUGACUACACACAAUCGAAGUAAUUUGUGAAUUACAUCUCACCCAAACAAAUAACAGUCUCUGCUCCAAACGUUCAUUCAUUUUUUUGGAUAGACUGUCCAACACUGGUUGAAUAUUGUGGCUGCAGAAAACACAAAUGUCUUCAAUUCGAAUGAUAACACAAAAACUUGUAUUGAAGUUCCAGUUAAUGAAGUAAUUCAAAUAUAGGUUCGCAGAUACCUUAGCUUCGAUGACCAAACAGCCACCUCAAAAUAUGACAGACACACCUUCAAAAAUUCAAAGCAAUGUGGCCUGAAGUUGAACUCCCGAUUUCUGGUCGAAUGGUGAAAUGCACUGCCCAGAACCACUCCAUUCAAAUCAACAAUAAGAAGCUUCUUCUUUGAAUCAUUGGCGGACGCAAUUUCUGGCGGGCUUUUUGUUACCCUUGUACCUUCGACUGGGGAAAAAAUGAAGGCAUACAAUUUUUCAGCACAUGAAUUUUGCAUGUGAGAUCCAAUUUGAAUGUCAUAAUGCGAAAUCAAACAAGAGGAAUUGGAAAGUGUAAAGCAAAGAUCUGGGGUCGAGAAUUUAUUACAAUGUCGUGAGCAGAAGUCGAUUAAUAAUGGAAUAGCGGGAGUAGAAAAGCAAUUUGUGAAUGCGAUGGUCACGGGGAGAUGCAUCGGAACAGAGGUACGUACACUUUUUAUGGUUUCCUUUAUACAAGAUUAAUUUCGUACCAAUAAUUUGCAAAUGCCCUAAAGAAUUUAAAAUUUAAUAUUGCCUUCAUAUGCAACGAACCAAUUACAGUAAAGGCGAGACAUAAUGUACCGUUCCCUGUUUCCUGAUGCCCCACAUCGUUGGUAGCAUCAUUUUGCAAAUCUCCUCUGGUUACAGCCUCAUGUGCCUGUUUAUUUUCUAUCAGGAACGCAGCAUAAGCGAACGGGUCCGCAAGUUUCCCCAAAGCGAUCUCCCAGGCAAUAAAUUUUCUAGCAAUGACAGCAUCAAGCUGUACAUACAUUCAGAAAUGAUGUCAGACGCAAUAAAGUGAGCUUGCCACAAGGGGUUGUACACUUGUGCACUUACAAAUUGUGGCCGACACCCCUUUGCCCAACAUUGCGCAAACUUCAAGGUGAAAACCCCGCAACUCGCCGCGUCUGUCUGUUUUAGUUUGUGUUUUACAAGAAUAAAUGUCCAGGGUUGAUUUUGGUGGAAAAUUUCCAUCAAAAUCCAUUCCUAAGAAGGAAAUAAAUACAGCAGGUAUCGAAUGUUAGAAAUAUGUUACCUUCUUCGGAAAUGAAGCUAAGGUACGAUUUCGAUGUUUACUCACCACAGAUUGCAUCAAACCUUGGUAGAAGCUUUUGUAAUUGUCCAUAGAAUCAACAAUGUACACUUCUUUGUCCUUGACAUGUGCAAUCAUGAGCAACCAAUGAUUUGAAUAAAUGAUUGGGAAAAAAAUCUGCAAUCGCAUACAACGAGCAAUGUCGAAUGUGUUAAAAGCUAAGGCAUAUUAGGCUGAAUCCAAUUCUACUAACAUGCAGCUGCUACUCAUAUUGUAUAAGAAUGUUAAGGCGAGAAUGAUAGGUAAUGUUUACCUUUUCAGGAUUUGUCAUGGAGUCGUCAUUGCUUUGAUCAACGAAUGGCUUUUUGGUUGCGGGAGAUAUGCAUGGAUAGUCUAACACACAUUUCAGCUACAACGAAGUGAUUGAGAAGCAAGUAUUAGUUCCACAUUUUGCAAGGCACAACAGCACAUACAAUAAUUUAACAUUACGUACCCAAAACAUAGGAUUGAAGAAAACAAAUUGCUUAUAUUGUUUCUGGAGUAAGUGAAGGUACUGGGUCACAACCUUCACAGAAUGGAACAAAUUCAAACAUUGAAUAAGAGUGGAAAUACAAAGCGAGAUCAGUGAACAAGGUAGGCCUGUGCAAUCGCAUAAAAAACUUACUUUGUCACUGAGACAUGUCUCCUGAAGCAUCACUUGCUCCAGUUCUUCUCUAGUAAUAUCAAAGAGAUGCUGCCUAUCUAGUGUACUGGCACAGCUGUGAACAAUGAUUGACAUGAUUACAAUAAAGAGAUGAAAGCGAGACCAUUGUUAGCCAUUGACAGUACCGAUAGUUUAACAUACAUCUGCGGGACGAGUUGUCUGACAUGAAAGCAUACGGCUUCUUUCAAUUCAUCAUGUGGUACGCCGGAAGUUUGUGGUAGACACUGGACAAUAAAGGUAUUAGCAUAUAUAAAGGGGAUUACAGGAAAGCGCAGGAGCAUGUCUUACAUCUCGUAGAAAUGGCAAUGUCUCAAAUCCGCAGUCCUUCACUUUGAUGGCACCAACCCCUUGUAAAAUUUGUUUCACUUUAUCCACAACCUAGUCAUACAAAUAUUGGGUUAUCCUCCUGGGUUGCCAUCGAGAAGAAGAAACAAGGAGUAAAAUAACAAUGUAACAUACAGUUGCCCCUUUUCUGGUCUGUUCAUAUAGUAUGACAACUUCUUCAAGGUGUGGUUUUUCCCCCACAACCGGCCGCACCUCGACCCCAGCACACUUCCCCUGCUUAUCCAUCUCUUUUAUUUCUACAAGUUUUCUAUUCGCGUCCCCAUUCUGACCAAUGACAACAUCAGAGGUAUAGGAUUUCUUCCACAUCCAACCACCAUCUUCACCUUUGACUGCCAGUCUUUUGAUGUACGAUACUCCCAUUUUGUGGCCGUAAAAUCCUUUGUCAACAUGGUCAGCCAAGAAUGGCACAUCAAAGCGCCUAAACAGCCUGGUCAGCAACAUACCAAAAGGGAGAUGUGUUCUCUUAUUCUCCCUGCUCUUAAUCUUCCUAAUCCUGUUGAGCACAGUUGCAAUGAUCAAAUUGCCUAUGUUUACAGGUUGUUUGUGUAACAUAUGCCACAGUAUAACUCUUUCUAAUGCACUCACGGAAGUGAUACUUCCGGCUUUAGGUACAAUGCUAUGCGUUAUUAUCAGAUGUAACAGCCGUGGGACCACUUUCAUAUACGGCGCAAAAAACUUAUUCUUUUUGCCCAAGUUCAUAACCCUGUAACCAUUUAGCCGAAUCUCUCCAAGAAAUUCUAGGUCAUUGUACCCCUUCACAGCAACCUUAUCUACAUUCUUUGCGCUAAUCCGUCUAUAGUCAACAGUGUAUCCACUGUCAACCAACCCAAACUCUGAACACAAAACCUCAGCAGACAAUUCCAUGUGUACAUUCCUAACCACUGAACGCAGAACAGACUUCUGCUUAUUUGCCCUACAGUUAGCAUAGAAUUCCCUAACCAUUGCAUCAUAGCACUUGUCAUUAUUUCCCAGCAAAUUUAACAAAUUUUGGGCAUUAAGAUAUUCUGUGAUAUCGAUACACUCACCAGCGAGAGCUUGUACGUCGACCCACAUGCCUGCAUACACUGGAAGACUCAUACAGGCCUCCAUUUUACUGCCUAUGCUUGCUUCGGGCUACGAUUCAAUUGUUGAGUACGUUGAGCAACAGAGGAACCGAACGCGAAAAAUCCGAUUUAUUUGGACCUUGCCGCCUGAACUGCUCCAAAUUUUAGAAGGGGGGGAGGGGGGAAAGUUUAAACCGAAGCUUUUCAAGUGUGUUUACACAACAACGGAGCUUUUAAUGGGCUAAACAGGAGAAAGUAUGAGAAGUUCAGCAAAGACGAGCUUUUUGUGGGAUAAUUGAUCAGGCGGGGACGGGCGUGGAGGGGAGGCAAACCCGAUUUCGUCAAAUCAAGAUAAACCCGAUUCGGUAUUCCAGCGUCUAUUCCGAAGCGGGUUAUGCGGAAGGCAAAUUACAAGGGGUUAUAUUACAAUCUAUUCAUAAUAACAAAUGUAAUUAUGUAUUUAUAUAAUUUAUUAAUAUUAUAUACACAUAUAUUAUAAGGGAUACUUUCACAAACCUCCCCUGAAUUAGCUUAUGGAAAAAUCAGAAACAUUAUCUUUAUGGACGAUAGCCAAAAAGAGCUCGUGUUUUAUUCAGGAACUUGUUUAUUUUCAUUUAAAUAAACAUAAAUAAAUUUGUUUACGUAAAUCGACUUUAUUGUAAAUGAAAGCCAUAUAAAGGUCCGUCUUUUAUUGUAAAUCGAGUUUAUUUUUUACAUUUUUUCCGAUAAAUAAAUUUAGUUAUGUCCGAGAGUGUACUCUGUUGUUAUAAUGGAGGAAAGCCAUAAAGAGUUCAGAAACAUCAACGUAAAUCGAUUAAAUUUUUAUUUCAUCGGAGUGAACAAUUUAUUUAUGGAAAAAUGGGUACUCCGUUCUUAUAAUGGAGGAAAGGCAUAAAGAGCUGGUCAAUUAAUGUAAAUCGAUUUUAUUUUAUUUUUACCCGAUACAAAAUUUUAUUUAUCUAAAAAUGGGUACUCUGUUGUUAUAAUCGAGGAAAGCCAUAAAGAACUGGUCAAUUAUUGUAAAUCGUUUUUUUUUUACCCGAUGUUUGGAUUUUAUUUAUGGAAAAAUGGGUACUCUGUUCUUAUAAUGGAGGAAAGAAAUAAAGAGCUGGUCAAUUGACGUAAAUCGCUUAGAAUUUUUUUUUAAACCCAACAAAAAAAUUUUUUUACGAAAAAUUGGGUACUUUGUUCUUAUAAUGAAGUAUAAUGAAGUAGAGCCAUAAAGAGUUGGUCAAUUAACGUAAAUGGAUUUUAUUUUUUUUUUACCCGAUAAAAAACUUUAUUUAUGGCAAAAUGGGUACUCUGUUCUUAUAAUGGAGGAAAGCCAUAAAGAGCUGGUCAAUUGACGUAAAGUGAUACUUUACAGAACAGAACAUAUUGAAGAUAAGCUAUUUAGCUUUUCAUACCAGUAAUAUUAACAGAGUAAGAAGUAGCGGUCAAUUUACUGAAAAAACAUAAUUAAUUUGUACACCAUGGUGACAAAUUUGUGCAUCAAAAGGAGUUGUCAACAUUCAAUCUUAUACACUAACGAUAAGGUAGGGCAGCAGAAAUUGCUCCAAUUUCUUCAUCGCAAGCGCAGGCUUCACAUGUACUCUCCUCCUCCACGUCAUCGGCAUCCAUAGGCCAUGAAGAUGUUUUCCUCUCGUGUGUCAUGGCACAACAAAUGGGCGUUGGGUUUAGAAACAAAGGGUUCUUGACCCAUAUCAUCCUCAGCAGCGCUCGCAAAUUGUGACGAGGAUGAAAUUGUUUGGCUUUCAGAAUUCUGGAUUUCUUCAACCCGCUCAGCAGUCGCAUACCUUUGCGCUUUAACUCGUCCCCACCAAGAAAGAUGUAAAUUAUUCCCAACGCAUAUGCCGCAUCCGCAUGGCCUGAAUUGGCAGCUUCUUCCAGGCAUUCCAAUGCUGAGUCCUCAUGCUUGUCCGUAAAAUAAUCAACCUAAACAGUGCAAGGUUGAUAUUACACUCUUCCGUAAAAGUCAUCGGGGAAAUAGUAACGAAAAAAUCAAAAAAAGUGCUUCGUGAACAUCCAAGGCGGCGGGACAAUAAUUAUUUACUGGGGCAGAAAGCUGCAGUAACCUGUUGUAUAUAUACGUUUUGGGGUAAAGUGUGCAGACCAAAAUCAUCAUCAAGUUCAAAUGAUAUAGAUGACCUCAGCUUAGUCUAGAAAAUUUCGAGCAAACGGGACAUCGGCCCAAUGCUUACCACUCCUUUUCGAUACAAGGCUUCUGGAUUUUUGCUUUCUCUACACUUCUUCAAGAACCUCGACACUUGGUCGUUUUUUGACCACGGCACGAUUUCAAACUUAUCCAUUGACACCCGGUGGUAAAUGUUGUCUGCUUCCGAAACUUCGUAAAACAACUUACAGCUGCAAAAUAAGAGAAAUGAUCCAUUAAACGCAAACGAUUGUAACAUGUCAUAUAUUUUAAACGCCUCUUCCUGUUUCUAUCACCAAUACCAGAACGAACCAUAGUUUUGCCCGGAAAAGAUCAGUGGAUGAACAAGAUGCGACACGUGCAAGCACCUCGGAUAGCACCUCGGUCGGAAAGGACAGGAUGGAGGUUGUUGAACGCCCUUUUUGUUCGUUGGCCAUGUCCGGUUAACUCCUUUUACUGGCCACAGUCGAGUGAAUCCGUCGAACGCCUAAGAAUGGAGUAAACUUCAAACAACACCUACUUCCUAAUAAAAUUCAAUAAUGAUUGAUAAGGUGUAAUAUAUACGGAGUUUGUGGGAGACCGAGUAACCGUAGCGAUAAACGAACAGAAAUUUGGAAAGGCACAACUUCUCCUGCAAACGACGCAACAUUCUGUCGUCAAAAAAUAGUCAUCCGAAACAAUUUUACAAACCGACCAACGUAUUGUUCCAAUACGGUUAUUACAUACGCACCGUAACAAAACACCGGUAGCAAGGGACCAUGAACAGUCACGAUGUACACCUACCUCGUAAAUUGGUCGACGUUCAUCGCCGAGCAAAGGAGCUUCCACAGUGAUAAACAGGGAGCCUUAGUUCGUAGCUGUAAUGGGUCGGCAACCAGAGCUGGUAUGGGAAAUGGUCGCUAUCACAGAUUUGGCAGAGAGGUCCGGCGGGUGAAAUGGCAACCGAAAGGGCAAAAGGUCAUGUUGAAUGCAUAUACUCCCGCAAGGCUGACUCCUCGUAUGCUGCCACGGAUGUAUUUGUGGAGUCUGUCACCCAUUAAUUGAGAAGAGGCAUAAAGAGCCGGUGAUUAUUCGCCAAGUGGGUUAAAAGUAAUAAAGAGCUGGUGUUUAUCCUUUGUAAGCCUUUUCUCUAUUAUAAUAUGAUUAUGUAUUUUUUUUGUUAUAAACUAAAAUUCAUGAAAUACUAUAAUUCAAUUCAAUUAUGAGAGAAAAUGAGUACAGGAUUGUACCUAUAAUGGAUUGUAACUUCUAUACAUACUAUAGCAAUAUUUCAUGAAUUAAUCCUCUUGGGAAUACGUAGGGACCUCUAGUCACAAAUUGUUGUUUCAUAACAUUUUUUAUUUUAUGUAACUUUCACAUAUUUGAUUUAUGUUACACAGAAAACAGACGUCGGGUUUCCUUUUGCCCGCUAUUAAACCCAUUUUCCCUAUAAAGAGCUGGUAUGUUUCCAGCAAAAAAGCGGAGACAAAUCGUACUACAAAACAUGCCAGUUUCCCAUUCAGCGCUGGUAUAGUAUGCGUUGUAUGUUCAAUGUUUCCUAAUAAAAACCAUACUAGUUCUGUCUUGGCCAGUAUUUGCUGCUAUAAAGAGGUAGUAUGUUGCCCAUAAAAAGUUGGUACAAAACAUACUAGUUUUCCUUUGGCCGCUAUGUAACCAAAAUUUGGAUAUAAAGACCUGGUAUGUUUCCCAUACAAGGCCGGUAUUUGCGGGGUUUUAAAAAACCAAUAAAUAGCCAUAAAGAGCUGGUAUGUUAAAUACAUAAAUUUAACUUUCACAAAUUGGCGCCAAAUUACUUCUUCUAUUGCCGCCUACGAGUAAUAAUUUUUUAAUCACCUUCAGUAGAUAUUAAAUUUUGCAAAAUUCUAGUUAAAUGUAAUUACCAACCGCCAGAUACUUUUGGCAAUUACUUAGCGUAAGUAAAAUUUAAAAGGUGAUAUACUAAUAUUUUUACGAAGGAAAAGUAAUAGGUUUUGUAUUUAACAUGAUUUAAAUACGUGAAAGUAAAAAAAAAAAGGUGAUUGCCCAGUAAUAUAUCCGUUUUGUAUAGGUUUCCACUAUUACGAGUUUCUUCCAUUUAAUUAGUCUAAUUAGUCACUUAUUUUAUGGUAAAUAGGUAACCUACAAUGUGACUUUAAAUUUGUGAAAAUCGGCAAUUUUCCUGCCACAUCCGGACCUCUACAAUUUUUUUGUAUUGUACUUAUAACCCCUCAACUUCAGUAAUCAUUCCAAUAAUUUAUUUUUCUUUCAAUCUUCUACCAAUACAAGGACCAAACGGGGCAUGCAAAAUAUAUAAAAAUACCUUCUCACAGAUGAAAAUAAUAUUGUAAUCAGAUUUGGACUGCAUUGUUACAAAAAACUUAAAAUUAAGGGAGGUCAGUGAAAUCUUGAGAAGCUGAGGGGUUGCCAGUGAAAGUGUCAGAAACCUCAGGGACAAAUUUGUGACAUUAUUCAUAUUUAUUGUAUUCGUUCCGAAACGUCAACAUAAGGAGCAAACAAAUGUGUUGACUACUGUGAAGUAAAACCUAUUCCUUCCUUCCAACCCCCAAAUUAUUGUUAAGGGCGGUGUCCGUGGACACCGUGGGAGCGGCGCUUCAGCUUGUGUUUGGCAGGGAUAAAGUUAGGCGGUGUACCGGAGGAGAUAAACCUUUGCGAAUGGCUUCUUCGUCUUCAGCCGGGUCGGCCAAUAGCACGGUCUGGCCUACAUUAUAUUGCAAUUGUGGUCGAAGCUGUGCAGUUCGCGUUGUCUGGAAGUCUGAAGCAAACAGGGGGCGCCACUACUAUCGCAGCGCUAACGCCCUGGUAAGUUCCACGAUACAACUGUUCCGAACAAAUAUUUCAGAUUGCUAACGUGAAUUUCAUUGCAGAGGCCCUGUCGAACGUUCAUUGGCUGGUGUGAUGAGUUUGCUCGAGCAACGGGGUUUGAAGUUCCCGAUCCCGCCCCGUCAAGUACCGCCCCCGUCAGCAUUAGACCCGCGGCGGAGGUGUCUGCCAUCAAUGCUGAACUGAGAAGCAUGCAAAGAAAUGUGACGAUCCUUAACAUUGCUGUGGUAGCUGUGGUGGCGGUAGUCCUUGUUCUAGUUCUGAAACCGUGAAUGAAUGUGUUCCCGUUGAUUGCAUCCCCUCGAUGCCCCCCCCGUUGCAGUACUGUUUGUAUGGUCCCAAUAAGGAUAGAAUGGGCAUUUAGGCUCGUUUACAGCCUCUUGUAUUUUUGUGGUUGCUACUGCUGUGGCAUUGCCUUUUGUCCAUCCGUUGUCAACCGGUGGUUGCCGCAUAUGCGACUGAGUUGGCCAAACCGGCGGAGUGAUACUGUGUAAUUUAAGAUUUUCCCUUAUAUAACAUACUAGGUUUCCGUAUUUGGUUUUUGUUUACAUUGUGCAUGAUGUGUUUUUCCGAAACGCCUGUUCCCUUUGUCCCCCGCAAUGUGUGUGCGGAUGAGGUACUACGGAUCGUAGAUGGAUCGAUGAACGUCAUUAGUCACUGCGAUGGCAACCGCUGCGUUGUUAAAUAUGAACUUCAGCUUAGCCAGCCAACUGAACAAGUUGAAGCUUACCAAUUGGGAUGUGGCACAGCAUUGUUAGGUUUACGGAUGCGAAAUUUGUGGAGUUGAACGACCUAAACAAGUUCUUACUUAUAUAUUUGGAUUUAAGUACAUCCGCUUACUGCUUACAUAUCCGACAAUACGGUGCACGGCUUACAUUUUCAGGCCUUGCAUAAUAUCAUCCCCUAACCCCUACCCUUCGUACGCUUACAAUCAAAACCAUGCAUGGUACGCCCAACAACACCAAGGGCCAAGAACAAAAAACCGCCCAACCUCCAAAUAUGAUGUUGAACAAAAAAAAUUAAAAGCACACCGCUGUAACUGCGAACGUUCACUCGAAACGCUCCACAAUAAGACCAAACAUAGGGUUUAAGGAGGCAACCGUGGUAGCUACCCUGAGAAAGCUGCGGUAUUUCUUGCGCCGCACAGUGAGGAGAAGGCUGUCAAUAGCAUCUCUGUCUUCAAACGUGAUCUCUACAGCUGAUGGAUUCCAGUAAAUGGUUGCGGUGUGAAGGUUGUCCGCAAUGGCAACGUUACGUGUCAAGCUGGCGGCAUACCCCUCUUCAGCAAGAAACCGUGUUACAGACCAGUCUUCAAAGUUGGCGCCGAAGAGGAUCCACACGUCGGUAUGGAGCAGUGGUUUUUGACUGAGGAAAUGUGCAACAAAUUCCUCCUUGCCCACAAACCAGGCAUUGUAGGUCAUGAUGUAAAACGCCUUCAGGUUCUGCAUAAGGGGGAGUGGACGACGGCGCCACUUGACCAGCGAACGGAAUACUUCCUCGUUCGCAAUGGGGUUGCGAACCGGUAUGCAUGACACCAGCAUCGACUGCGGAAAGUCCGGUCCCGGAAACCUAUCUAACCGCACCAGCGCCUCCUCAACUAUCCACUUCACGCCAAUGUGGUGAAGUGGUAAGAGCUCGUGUUGAAAGUAGGCGACCAUGCCUCCGUUGUUGAGGACAUGCAUUUCAGGAAGUCGUCCAUACCCUGCCAUGAGUCAGUCUGAAAAUCGAUUAUGUUACGAGGAAUGAAGGGUCGGUUCAGGAAAUAAACAUACAGAACCCUAUGAGAAUAUACCAGUACUUACAUGUUACGGGUGGUAAAAGGAAGAUGUGAAACUGAUACAACGGGGUUGUAUGAAUCUCAAGCGGCAUGCAAUAGGGUUCUCUGUUGUGCGAAACCAACGCCGGGGUGAAUGGGCAUGCAAGGAAGAAGUUUAGUUGUGUGAAACUUUUAUAGGAGGACAUAAGGGUACGAUGGAUACUAUGUUCUUAUAAUGGAAAAAUUGCCAUAAAGAGCUGGUCAAUUGACGUAAAUCGAUUUUAAUUUUAUUUGUACCCGAUAUUAAAAUUUUUUUUAUGGAAAAAUUGGUACUCUGUUCUUAUAAUGGAGGAAAGCCAUAAAGAGCUGGUCAAUUGACGUAAAUGGAUUGUAAUUUUUUUGACACCCGACCAAAAAUUUUAUUAAUGGAAAAAUGGGUACUCUGUUUCUAUAAUGGAGGAAAGUCGUAAAGAGCUGGUCAAUUAAUGGGAAAAUUGAUUUUAUAAAAUUUGUUCCCGAUAAAAAUUUUAUUUAUGCUCCUUAAUGGGUACUCUGUUCUUAUAAUGGCGUAAAGCCAUAAAGAUCAGGUCAAUUAACGUAAAUCGAUAAAUAAGGAAGUUUUUUACCCGAUACAAACUUUAUUUAUGCUCCUUAAAUGGGUACUCUGUACUUAUAGUGGCGGAAAACCAUAAAGAGCUGGUCAAUUAACGUAAAAAAAAAAAAUUUAACGUAUAAAAAAAUUUAUUUAUGGAAAAUUGGGUACUCAGAGCCCCUUCUACAAAUACAUUUAGUUGUCCCCUGAAUAACAAUGCAACCGUUUUCGAAGAAAAUUGCAGCUGUUAGACAUUCCUCCAUUACAACAAAAGAGUACAAAUUUUUCCAUACACAACUUAAUUUAACGGAUAAAAUAUAAAUAAAAAAGAAGAUUGCAUUUUUUAAGCGGUUAAUACUACCCAACUUGGUAGAGAGGUUGGUGUAAGGCACAACACUGGCUUUUUUUUUAAGCCGGCAGAAAAUUUGGCUCUCUUAAUCAUAAGACUCACAUGGUUUACAGGGAGAUAAUAGAUUUUUUUUUUUUUUUUUUUACAGGGACCUUAUGUUAGAGGAGUCUCCAUUUGCUCGGUUGGAGUGUAAAUCUGGUGCGGACAAGACUGGCGCCAGUCUUUCUUACAGGAGAAGAUGCAAGAGUUGUACAAUUUCGUCAGAUAAUGAACGGUCGUGCGUGGAGGGGAGCCCACCUUUGCUUGUUGUGAAAAGAUCAGUGUGAAGCUUUUGAUUGACUACUGAACCAUGGCCCUUCACAUAUGCGAAACUGGGGGGAAACACUGGCGGCUCCCUAUCCCGUAUGGCGAAGGAUACAAGACCAUGUUCCCGCCCAAAAAAUUUGUGGUUAUCUUUGCAGGCCAUAGGCGGAACAGUGGCAGCCGAUAUCAUUCAUGAGAAUCAUGACAAAUCAGCAAAAUUCACAGUUUUCUUUACAUUUGAUAAACUUAAGUGUUACUAAUUCACAAUUCGCGGCUUGUGAAGAUUAGCGAAAGAAUUAAAGAGUUGGGUUCAGCAAAUGGGUUGUUCAUUUUAUUUAUUUGCAAUGAUGGAGCCAAGGGGGCAGAGGGGGGCCAUGGCCCCCCCUAAGUUUUGAAAAAUUUAAUUCAUAAUAUGUAUAUGUAUAAGUCAAAGUUGGCCCCCCCUAAUUUUUUAGAAUUUUAGUUUAUAUUAUGACAGUUAAUAUACAUAUUAUAUAUAUCUGUGUGUCUGUGUGUGUGAAUUACCACCUUUUGAUAUAAUUUUUUCUUCAAAAAAAAGUUAUUUAUUUUUAAUUGUACUAAUUAUUUAACAUUCAAAAAAUUAUAUAAUUUGAUGAUCAAUCGUAUCAUAUUUACCAAAUUUGAUGUAUUAUAAUAAAAGACUUAAUUCAUAAUUAUCAAUGGGCUACAAUAAAAAUAAUUACUUUAUUGGUCCAUAUACAAAUAUACACCUUAGCCUAAUUGAUAAAAAAAUUUAAACUUAGUGAUCUAUCCUCUUGUUGACUCAUAUACAAAUAUACAAAUAAUUACUUGAAGGCUUGGUGAAGACAAGAAAAUGAGUGAUAUAUCCUGUUAUAGUUAUGGAAUGGACAUUUUCACUUAUCAAAACAAUCAAAAUAAAGCCCCAAAACAAGAUAAAAGAUCAUUUCUUGAAUGAUUGCCUAACAAUGUACAUAAAAAAAGGAAGUUUCCUUGAAAUUUAGCAUUGAUUCAAUUAGAGAUGAAUUUAGUUCUAUGAAAGAACGUAAAACUCAAUUUAUUUUUAAUAAAAGAGGAUGAAAUUUCAAGGUAUAUUAACAUAACUUUUAUCUUUUUUAAAUUGAAAAUAAUUAUAUUUAUAUUACAGCUCCGUCUUUUUGUUUUUGCACAGGUAACAUAUUGGAGCAUCUUCUCAUUAUGUGCAACUUAAGUGGUUUGUGAUGUUAUAAGAUAUUUAAUCAAAUGUUAUUUCUUAUCUUAAUUUUAGUUAUAACUAUGCUACAUAUUUAUGAAAUAGACAUACCUUUAUAAGAGUGCGAGUUUAACUAGCAAAUAAAAGGGAAAUAAUGUCAUGCAUUUAAAAGAUCAACAAACAUGACAGUAUUAAAAAUCUAAACUUGCACUAGAGGUAAUAGUACUACAAUAGAGGACAAAAAAAUCUAAUAAAUGAAAAUCGAAGGUAAACGAUGAUCAGUCACAAAAAUAUGAUGCUUAUUAAAUUAAAAAAUAAUCAGAAUCUCUUCAUUUAUGGAUAGGUAAUUAUAUUUUAAUUUAUAUAAAGUUUAUUAAUUGUGAAAAAUGCUCAGAAAAUGGAUAAGGUGGAUGACGUGUAAAAUAAAUGUUGGGGCUAGCAAUUUAGAAUGUGUAGAUGACUAGCUUGUAUCCAUGAUAGGUAGCAAAAUUUUCAUGGUUUUAAUUUUAGGAAAUGAUAGCUUGGAAAUAAAAGAAAUGUAAAAUUAGAUAAUGUCAUCUUUUACUGAAACUGGUUGUACAUGACUUACUCUUAUCCUUUUAUAUUGUCCAUAAUGAUAGAUAAUGUAAUUAGAGUUUCAGCUGAUUGUUAGGCAUAGAAAUGGACAUGUCAUUACUAUUUGGCUAAAGAAGUUAAUAAUAAUUUGUUCAUUUGACUAGCUAAAACAAUUGCAGUUUUCGAAGGAAUGCAUUUGGUGGUGGAAGUUAUUAUUCAGGCUUUUAGCUUAGAGUGUCACUCUACAAAAUAUUAUUACAAAAUUCUAUUUUGCUUAAGAAGACAUUUUUGCAAUAUUACAAAUUGUUGGAUUUUAAUUUGCAUAUGUAGAUUUACAAAUAUGGCAAUUCAUGUUUUUAUUUAAACUUGCAAUACAUAUUCUAUAACAAGUUCAGCCAGAAAUGUUUUCAUCUAUUUGUAAUGCUAUUAGACAUGAUUUAAAUGGAUAGCUUAACUUGCUAUUUCUCUCAAAAAAGAAAGAAAAAUAUGCAAGUCUGUAUUUUUUUUAUUGAUGUUGCAGAUAGUGACAGUUAAGUUUUUGUGGGUUUCUAUAUUUUUUCUAAUUAUUAAAAUUUUAGAAACAUUAUCACUACUCAUUAUUUAAUUACAACUAAAACUAUACUGCUAUUAAACCGAUAAUGCACUCAUAAUGGAUGUGCUUUCUUUUCUUUUUUGGUAUCAUUCCUUUUCGAUAAUAGUGGUUAAAAAUUCUUUUUCCAUUGUACAAUAAAUUGGGGUUAACUUUUUAUAAGCCAGAAGUUUCUUUUCACAGCAAAUUGAAAAAGUGUUAUAUUCAUAUUUCUAUGGAAGAAAAACUGGUAGAUUUUGUAUUUAACAAAAAUUAAAUAUUUGAGGGUAAAUACAAAUCUGUAUUUGAGAAUAAAUAUUUGUAAUAAAGUAAAUGUUUGAAAGUAAAAUACCUGUAGAGAGUUGGUACUUUAAAUCAAUAAUACAUAUUUGCCUAUAAACUACGCUUUUUAAAGUUUAUUAAUUGUUAAUUAUUUUGAAAUACUUUGUCAUUCUUUGGACCUGUAGCAGAAAGGACAAAUCAGGUACAAAAUCCUAAUUUCACUCUCUAAAACAAUGUUUUAAUCGUUUGGACUGAAUUGUAAAGGAUUAGUAACAAAUGGAAUGAGAUCAGUGUAAUUGGUCAAAUCACAGGAGAGGUUAGUUUCUGAAAUUAUCCCUUUGAAGCAGAGCCACUAACACACAUUUUUUGUGGGAAGCAAACCUCCCACCCCACCAAAGCCUCAAGGCCUCGGUGCUGGCCACCAGCCCAAGAGCUGGUGGUUUUGGCCUCUAGUAUGAAUAUAUGCGGAAUGUUACUUUUUUUUUUGAAAUAUUAACCCGUGUCAACAUAGUACUGUCAUUGGAGUUGUGGCAACCCGUAUUCGUUUAUCGUCCGGACCAUCCAUGCCAAGUUGCUUUUCAAUUUGAGCUGUUAAUGUCCCAAAAUUGCGGUUUGUGUUUUUAAAUUCAAAAUUUUGCAUCUUUUCUAAUCCAAUUCCCCCCUUGCUAUAAUGAAACGUUCGGAGACAUUUCAUUGCUUAGGACGCGGAGGUUGGCCACAAUACUGUUUCCGUAGUCGUCCAAGUAAAACUGAAAAGGGUAUGUAUGUAAAGGCCAAUGAAAACACGAUAUUUUACACGCGCCGACCGUCACUGUAACACAAAUUUCCCAAUUUGCAACCCUACUUAGAAGGUACAAGGGCAUUGCACGCCCAACCUGGCCACAGCCGUCCAAAAUGUCUUGCACUUCAAAUUUCUGAGCGAAGAAAGAUGCCUACGCACAUACAAGGCCGCAACACUUAACGGCAAAGCUGUUCAUAAUCGCGGGUGGGGCGACAGGGAUUUUGUGAUAGCCUGCGCCGUCACAAUAUUCGUCCAAAAUCCAACUCCAACAGCCGUGCGAUGGGCAGGCUCCAUCGCUACCGGCCUCCGCGUGAUGAAGAACACUCGCAACAACUGCUGGUUGAUCGGAAAAGUCACAUAUCACACAUUUUCCUUGCACAGGGGGUAAAUGUUGCAGAAUCAAUGUCGACAAUUACUUGUGCUUAUUUUGCCCUAAGUCCUCAUUUGGUUUAUACAUAUAUAAAAAUGGCUGAAUUGGUUCUACAUUAAUGCACAGGAAGUCUAUUCAAUUUAUCCUAGAGGGUCGUCAGUCGAAAUUAAGGAGUGGUGGAAGAGGCUGCCUCGUAAGGUGGCCGCGAAAGUUGUUAGUGCUGGGCUUGGGGAUUUUCUGAGCCACUUGCCCGUGGCCGAUAGAGAUAGGAAGUUGCCUGUCGCACUUGCGGAGCGAUGGUGGGACUCAACAAACUCCUUCCAUUUGCCUUUCGGAGAGAUGACACUGACACCCUUGGACUUCACCUGUAUAACCGGUGUUGCAGUGGGCGGCUUGCCCAUUCCGUGGGAUUACAAUGUUAGGGAAAAUGCCAAUUACAUCAAGGAGCAAUUGGGUUGGGUGCCAGCUUUUGCUUCUGCCGGUGCCAUCAGAGUUACCGAUAUAUUGUCAUUCUACAAAGACAAGGCGAUUGACGAGAACGACGACGUCCAGCUGGCACAUCUGACUAGAGCUUUCUUUCUAUACAUGCUUGGCCGCACUUUACUUAGCAACACGGCCGAAACAAUUCACCUGUGCUGUCUGCCAGCGCUGGAGGACGUAGAUCGUAUAGGGGAUUAUAACUGGGGAGGGGCGGGGAUGGCAACCUUGUACAGAUUUAUGUCCGCCGUCUCCCGACGCCUGACGAAAAGCCUAGGCGGCUACAGCUUCGUUUGGGAGGUAAGUCCAGAUUUGCCUUCACUUUGUGUCAAUUCGACAUUUCCAUGUUCCGUUACAUAAACUUUUCUAGCAGUUAGUGUUCAUCUCGAACGGUGGACAUAAUUUGUACGACCACGUGUAGGUGUGGGCUUACGAAAUUCUUCAGUUAAGUCCGUAUAAACUGAAACGGGACGAGAGGGACGUAUUGCCCAGAAUGUGGCGAUGGCGCUCGUGUAAUAGAGCCAAUCGACUAGCACCGUCUACGGUCGAAAAUUUUCGCCGCGCAAUUGACACCAUUGACCCGGAAAACGUUAGUUCCCCUACUAAAAACAUCCAAUAGUUUCUACCGCCUAAGUGUUAACAGUUGUUAUGAAUUUGUUCCGCCUGUGGAACAAACCAAUGUUACAUCGCUUGUUAAUUGUGUGUCAUAGGUGAACUGGCUGCCCUUCCCUGUAAUGGCAUUGCCCAGUCGGUAUCUCAAAUCCAAGGAACUAACUGCAACGAGAUUGCUUUUGGAUGGCCCCAUGGGAAGAUUUUACUACCUGGGCGAGAGGGUUAUUAGGCAGGUGUAUGCAGGUGUAUGUGCAAAGCAACCUCCCCAUCGGCCAUCAGAUAUGUACAGCACUGAUACAAUUUCGGGAAACAUGCUACAUGAUGUGCUUCGUGGACUGCCCAUUGCAAGCCUAUACCCAGAUCCCCCUCCAUAUGCUACGUAUGAGGAGUUUGAGUGCAGCAGGCUAAUGAGACCAAUGACUUCCUCCACGUUGGCACCCAGUGGGAAGGAGUGCGUAAUUCAUAUAUGUGACCAGUUGCCACUAAGUGAGGUCACAACACCGUCACUGAAACAUCCAAUUAAUUACCCUCCCUGGUCUGUGUUGUGCAUACAAACUGAUGGAUCACUGGAGCAAGAGGGCAUUCACAGAGUUGGUGGCGAUGUAAUAGGGUUGCCUCUUCCAUGUGCUGUUGGUGAUGUGGUAUGGCAUUCUUCGCCCUGUACUUCACCCGCCAUUUAAUUUGCGCAAUUUGUGUACAAUUAAUACAGCCAUCUGUGUUGUUUCCGCUUAGGUGCCUAGACACUGGUACGAGGACCUGCUUGUUCAGUGCAUGGGCCUGAGAAAGAAAGCCUUAGAAAAAAGUGCAGAAAUAUUUCGUUUGGCAUCCAAUGUGUCGGACAACACACAAGUGGUGGACCAAAGGCUACAUCAAAUACAGAUAAUUUUGGAAAGUGCAUUGAAGCUCCAAAAGGGGACAGGGAAACGCUGCCUUCGCGGUGAACUUGGUGGCCGGAAAUCCUGUGUUUGUAAGCGUCCCAACACAAGUGCCGGGACGCAGACAUUUACGGAUGAGCUUGGUAGAGCCGAAGCUCACGAAAGUCAGGGAAUUCAUAAUGCCAAAGACUGAGCACCCAUGGCCCCAAACCGCAAACAAGGUUGUGUAGCCGGAGGAAUGAGUAUGCAAACUUCUUGGUACUGCCCACCAACAAAGCUAAGCUGUGAGCAAUCGCCACGUGUGUUGCGUAAUUCUGAUACAAUUUUAAACUUGAACACGGAAAAUGUUAACAGUUGACAGAUAAUUCCCACAACUAAUUUAUAGCCCUGUUCUUAUUUUUCGUCUGUCCCAGAUUGUUCUUCACCUACAAUUCAAGUUUGCAGUGAAAUUAAAUAUUUACAACAAAAUAAUUUAAAUGGAAGUUGUUGUUAUUAUAAAUCUAUCACAUUUAAUGCAUUACAAUUUUCGAACUUAUUUAUAUGAAAUGACGGAAAAGCCUUUUGUAUGAAUGCAACUCCAACAGAAGAAUAUGAGUUCAAGUUUGUGCAAACUAGUUACUUGAAAUAUUGUACUCCAUUCGAAAUGUACAAAUGGUGUAAAAAAAAUUAAUCGUUUUCAGCUCUGUUUCGUUACUUUGUGCACAAGACACAUUUCCCUUUUUCUUUCACUUCAACAACUUCCUCUGCAAAUUUCCGAGGCUAAGCUCCUACUGCAGCAACAUCCCUAUCUAUAAUUACAUAAUAUAUAUAAUUACUAAUUAACUAAUAUUUUACACAGUUAUAACGUAUAUAAGAUUAAAUUAAAUCAUUUUGCAACCUUAUAUGCAUAAUAAUAAACAUAUUUAUUAUUAUAUGAAUUAUUAAUCUUACAUACACAUAUAUAUUGUAAGGGCUAAUUUCAGAAACAUCCCCUGAAUUAGCUUGUGAAAAAAUGGGAAAACGGAUGAUUUAUGGAGAAAAGGCAUAAAGAGCUGGUGUUUUAGUGCAGACCUGGAGUACUUUUUUUACCCGAUACAUAAGCAGGGUCAAAAAUUCACUGCGCUAGUUAACCAAUUUUUCAUAUAUAAACAAAUUUACUAAAAUUAAAAUAGCGUGUUUCAAAGUUGCGCUUCUAUUUCAAAGUCAACUACUCUUAAACAGCUUUUACUAAAAUUAAAAUAGCGUGUUUCAAAGUUGCGCUUCUAUUUCGAAGUCAACUACUCUUAAACAGCUACUGCUUAAUUCAUAUAAUGGAACAAACCCGUAAAGAACUGGUAUAUUAUAGCAAACAAUUUUUGUUGUUUACUUUAAAAUAUUUCAUUUAUAUUAAAUAAUUCAAAAAAUGCUAGUUUUCCUUUCGUAAAGAUGUUUCUGUAACGGCUUUUGAAUUUUAUUUGCAAAUUUUUAUGAAAAUUAAAUGAUUUAUAAUAAAAGGUUCAUACAAAACGUGGUACUUCAUUCAUGUAAUACAGAGAAGGCAUAAAGAGUUGGUACUUUAUGGGAUAUUUCCUUUUUAAACUAUUCUGAACAUAUAUUACGUAGAUAACCUGCCAUUUUUUUUUACAUAACAAAUUACUGUACCAUUUUUUGAAUGGCAUUUCAAAAACAUUUCUAACUGAAACAGCACCCACAAUAAUGGCACAAAAAAGGUGCCUUACUCCCUAAUCCAGCUUUACUUCAUGUAUUACUCUCACAGUUUGUGUUAUUGUUGUUAGGCUUCAUUAAUCACUGUACAUUCCUUUUUCUCCGACUAAACGGUAAUAAUAAACCCCAACAUCAAUAAUAAAUCCCAAGUUCAUACCAUAUAUUUGUAAUUUUGGCCUUCAUGAUGUCAGCUAAGGGACCCAAUAACUCAAAGGCAAGGGAGGUCAGUCAAAUUUUGACAACUUCAGGGGGUGCCAGUGAAAGUGUCACAAAUCUCAGGGGAGGUUUCUUAAAUUAUCCCUAAUAAAUAUAUUACAAACCACAUUGUAAUUGAUAGUUAUUGGCUAAUUAAAUAUAUUGGUACAAAUGUAUUACUAAAGUUACUCGAACUAAUUAAUAAUUUCUAUUAGUAAAUAUGUAUAAUUAGUAGUAUAAUUCAUAAUAUUAAUUAUAUUACAUAAAUUAAUGUACAUAUAUAAUACAUAUAACUAAUAAUACCAUUGUUAUUGGUGCACUGAAGAGACGCAUAAGCAUUGUGAGCAAUGAAAAUAGAUGGGGAGAAACAGAAGUUACUGUUCCUACACAUGAAUGGAACGAUGGGCAAAAGAAAAGGCGUUGGGCCUUAUGGUCAUUGGUUAGGAUAGCAAGCCGAGGAACAAACAGCCCAAUCGUAAAAGCAGUUUAUAGCAGCAGCGUACGGCACCAGUUUACAAAAGCUGGGCAACUGAAGCUGAUUCCCAGGUAGCCACUUCGGAAAACGUCUAUCCCACGAAGAGAUUUUGCGCAACAUACGCUUCCACUUAAUUUCGUAUUUACAAAAAAAGGAACAAGUUUGGCUCGUCUAAUAAACAAUUUGUCAACUACUUACUCUCCUAUUAACCAAGUGCAGUAGCGGUAUUUGCUACAGCAGUGCUUACGACGCAACCUUGACAGUCAUGCAUCUUGUGAUCCUUCUGUGCAUGACCCCUUCGGUGGAACUACAAUGACUUACCCAUCUACACCUAGCAACCUUGAAUAAUCUUCACCCCACCGAUACAUAACAAAACACAAUCCCUAAAGCCGGUGUUGCUCUAUAACCUGUCUGUCGUCACGGCUGCUACUUCCAUGCACAACCAUACCAUCUCUUUCAACCUCUGCAUUUCACACCUAGAAGAAUAUAUAAUAGGAUUUACACACGCAACGGCAGUGAAAUAAGAACAACAAAGCCAUUUACCAACAGGUACUGCAUCAGUACAAUGACUGUUUACAACCUUUCAGUGGCUGUGGUGAUAACAGCUUACAAUGGCCCAUGACACAUUCAAACUUACAUUAUUUACACUUCAAUGGUAACGGAAUCAAAUUUUUUUAAACAAUAUACCCAGCUUUCCCCGCAUUCACGAAUACCUUGUAGCCUUCUCAUGCUCAAGACAAAUUAAUGCGAAGGAAAGAUACAGACACUUCCCCUUCUACAAUUUCGUACUUGUUUCAUGGAAAGACUACUCUUGCACCUCGACUCACCAAAACCUGCCUUAUUUAUUGCGUAACUGCAAACCGAAGCAUCACAACAGUAGUGCCUCAUCUUUCUCCUGGACUUCUUUGUUGGCCACCUGUGUCCCUUCCACCGCUACCGAAUGGUUGUGGUACAAAUGCUUGUCCUCUCCAUUCGCCUGAGUCGCUGCAGCCCGUACCAAUUUCAAAUGAUUUUUCCAGCGAGUCAUCCAAACAGUUUUCCAUAUAAUCAUCAUCAACUGCUGUGUUGUGCGAAUUCUUUUUGUAUAGGCAUGUUCGUUAGUUGUGGCCUGCCUGCAAUCUUCAACCCAUAUAUCACAUGUCAAAUCAUUUGUGACUGCAAGUAAUCACGUUAACCGAGCACAGUGCUAACAUUACACCACUUCAACUUUCUUGCAUUGCCAAUAACUUUGUAUACUUUGUAUGCACUUUUAAUUAUGUGUUUAUUUACUACUGUUGUUAAUAAGAACGAAAAAUACCCACUUCUUCAUUAUUACCUUCGCUGUCCACUUCAUGUAUUUUAUCAAUUAACUACUGUAUAACUACGUAUGCAAUUCCGAUAGUACCUGCAAUGACCACACUUUCUUUUCUUCUUUGCUUCUGCAUGCUUGUGAUCACCUUUACACCGGGACACCCUAGGAUCUAACAGCCCGAAUGUUCUUCUACUUCUAUCGUUCCUCACUCUUGAAUCCAUUGCAAAUCCAUCUCCCCCAUAUCCCCUAUCAAUCCACUUCUCCUUUAGGUCCACAGAAUGCUUGUCAAACAUCUGUUGCAGGUCAUUAAACGCAUCAUCCAUGUAGGAGGCAUAGUAACACAUAGUAUUACAGCUGGACUUUAAAGUGUCAUAUCUGGCCAUUUGUGUCAGCUGUUCGUCUGCAACAAAUUCUUUCAUUCCAUUAUUACUACAGUGAACUCCCUUUGUCCACCGCUUCGAAAUGCAUGCUUCUGGGAUCCUGUUCAUUCCUUCUACCACCAUCACGCGAAACAUGUGAGCACAAGGAAUCCCCUUUGACUCGAAUUUCAUGCAAGAGCAGAUUAGCUUCUCCAUUGACCUAUCAUAAUCCACCCUCCAACUUAUUUCGUGUCCACCAUAUUUCGAGUAAUAAUAUGUACGAUUCCCUCCAUCCUCGCUCCAGCCCUCAGAAAUUAGAAGUCCUUGCCUGUUCAAAUGCUUCCUCACCAUGAAGAACACAUUCCUUGUAAACACCUCCGCUGCGCUCCCCUCUAAUUCGGGCAGGAUUGUGGUUAAGACUGGUUUUGUGUUUUCGCUUGUGUGAACUGCUUUGCUCUCGGUAUGUCGAAGCCAUGCUAUUGCCAAAUCAAAACUUCUAACGAAUUCAUAUAGUCGCAUUUUUUCAUUCAAGUACUCGUUCAAAAAAGCAUUCAUUUUCUCACACCUUUGAGUACUUCUCAUACCUGCAAAAAAAUGACCGCGUAAAUAGGCCUCUGCCCAUAACCUUCUCCUACGGUACAAUUUCUUCACCCACUCAUUCUCUACCACCCCACAUUCAUUAACCAACCUAGCCCACCGAUCCUCAAACUCAAGAGUGCUACACUUUCUCGCCAUCAGGUUAUAGAACCUGUUAUUAAACUCCUCGCAGCGAAUAUUACUCCGUGCAUUUCUAUGCAAGUGCCACGAACAUAGCCUGUGACAAGCAUCCGGGAGAAGAUUCUUUAUAGCUCUUCUCAUUGCACUGUCCCCAUCUGUCAUCACUGCUACUGGCUUUCUACCUUUCAUAGCCUCUACAAAUGUACUUAGCACCCAUUCAUAUGUUUCAAUCCUCUCAUCUGAUAGCAGUGCACAGCCAAAAACAGUACUGUUCAAAUGGUUGUUUACCCCUGCAAGUACAACUAGUGGCUUGCGGUAUUUAUUUGUUUUGUAUGUUGUAUCAAACACCAAUACAUCUCCAAAUACACUGAAGUCCGCACGAGAUUUAGAAUCUGCCCAAAACAACAUUGCCAAUCUUCCUUCGUUAUCUACAUGAUAUUUAUAAAAGAACAUGUCAUCGGCAUCCUUCUUCGCUGCCAAGAACCCAAGUGCCCCUUCUGCAUCGCCAUUAAAAAUAUCUUUUCUACGUUCCUCGUCCAUUCGGUUAUACAAAUCCUUAAUGCAAAAUCCCACGUUACUAUACCCUCCGGCUUUGAUAACAAAAUGUUUCAUUAUCUGGCAUAUUCUGGCCCCAACCAACUUUAGACUUUUUGCCUGCGCAUAUUCUGCAUCGCUCACUUUUCUAUGCGACCUAAUAUGUUGCACACUUGCCUCUGAUGCCAGCGGGUGAUUGUGCUCCAUAAUGAAACGUAUCACCACAUACUUUACCGAUUCUAUGUCAUAUUUCACGCGAAAGCAAGCCCCACACCCGGUUCUUGUGAUUGGUUUUGCUUCUCUUUUCCGGUCUUCAUAAUUAAACCACUUUUCAUUCCUGUAACCUUCACAGCAACAUACCCAUUUUCUAAAUCUUGAAAUGCCAUCUGCAUCUCGUUUGGCAUUACUUUUACGAAUCCCAAAUCCGCUUAGUUUCGCAUACAAAUUAUAGAAUUCCCCAGCUUCUUCUUCCGUGUCAAAUGUUAAUUUCAUUACGUCAUCCACGCCUAUUGCGCCCACCAAUUCAUCUGCCUCCUCAUCUUCGUGUCCUCCUAUUGAACCACCGCUUUCUUCAAUGAAUGUGUCUCGGUCACACUCAGGUUCUUGGUUAAGGUCAAGGUCAAAUGACCUUAACCUGCCGCAAACAUCCAACGCCAUUUGAUUAAUUCUCUGUUUCCUGCACCAUGUCAUGAGUUGAGUUUUAAGCGCCCCAUCCUGCCCCAUAGUUACAACCCCUGUGUGGUUGUUCAAUGUUUUUUCUAACCAUGGUCGCUUAACAUUUUCUUUUCAGCCUCCCCAUAUGCUUUCGUUUGUAACAUAAAUACUGCUCGUCUACUAAUGGAACAAAACAUAUAUACACGAUCAUUUCAGUUAACAAACCAUACUUUACCUCACAACUUUCACAAAAUGCACCCGAUAAACAUUACUCUCACAUUCAUAUACACAGUUUUUAUAAGUGUGGCUGAUGCAAUUAUAUCAACCUUUAGCAUAAAAUACCACUAUCGACAUGCAUUUUCAUUAACACCCACAAACUCAACCUCUACUGUGUGUUUCUUUAAUUCUUUUCACAUAAGCAUUCGCAAUGCAGUAUGGGGGCCAUUAUCCAUGUCCACGCGGCCAUCCAAAUCACUCUGUUUUAAGACUUUAGUCCUGUUACAACGUCUUCUUCACGUCUUCACUCAUUUCUGCUUAAUUUCCUUUACACAAUUUAAUACAAAUUAGAGGACCAACAUUUCUUACGUACGUACACAAAGCUCGGUGCACAAACAAACUACGAUAAUAUCCCGGUUUCGUUUCAUCUUUGUUCGAAGACGCAGGGUCUUACACCCCGUAUUUCGUAUUCCUUAUUCCUCUAUCAUUGCCUCUUACAACAACUGUAGAAAUCACCCUACUAGACGUACUUUACUCGUUAUUCUAAUCCAUUUUUCAAAGUUGUGGACAAAAGUACUCACCUUUGAUUUCUCUGCUUCUGUUCCACGCCGCUGCAGUCUGUCACCACAGCUUCGGAAGGGCCUUCCUCAGAUGUAUCUACCGUCACCGCCUGCGCCUGAAUUUACGCCAGUAGACACCACCUCUUUACCAAAUUUUUGCCUACCAUUCCGACCUCGCCACCUGUCUUCAAACACACGCAUCACCGCGGGCCCCAACAUGGCUCUGUGUUUAGUACCUAAUACGCUUCCUCUUCGGUGGCCCCACCAUGGCUUUGUUUAGUACCGCUUAGGCUUCGUCUUCGGUGUUUCAUACAACAGAACCGACACCGCAAUUUUUAUGCUUUCCGAUAAAUUAUUUUUUUUUCAAGGAAAUUGGGUUCUCCUAACUGUGUGAUGGACGAAAGCCGUAAAGAGCUGGUCGUUUAUAAGACAACCGUUUUAACUACAUUUUAUCCCAUAACCCAACAUUUGUAUUUAAGGCACGUUGGGUACUCUGUCAUUGUAAUGGUUGAAAGGCACAAAGAGCUGGUCUUUUACUCACCAACGGGUUUAAUUGCAUUUCAUCCGAUAAAUCAGUCUGUCUUUAUGGCACCUUGGGUAUUAUGUUGUUGUAAUGGAAAAAAGCCAAGGGGAGAUGAAACUUUUGAACUGAGACACACGUUUGAAUAUAAUAAUGGUCCUCAAAAUGGAUUUAAUCUUUAGUUGUAGUCCAGGAAAGCCGUAAAGAGUUGGCUGUUUAUUCAAAAAUGCAUUUAAAUAUGAUAUUCCGUUGUUAAAAUGCAUUUAAAAUGCAAUCGCUAACAUUUGUAUUCAACGAAAAUGGGUUAUUCCGUUGUUAUUAUGGACGAAAGAGUUGAAAAUUGGGGUUGUUUUAAUAAAGUUACGGGUUUAUUUUUACUCCUUAGCCCAUUAUAUUUAUGUUAAUUCCGUUUCACCCCAAUGCAUUUCCAGCUUGUGCAGUACGCUACAUUUCCAAUGUCCAAACCGCGGUUAUAGGUCAUCACUUCCUUUUCUGGAAUUAUUCCCUUUCGGGUCCGUACUUGUCAGCCUGCAACGUGGAGGCUUCUUUGCCAUAUUAUCUGCUUUCCACACGUAUCUUCCAACUUUGUGAAUGCACUACAGAAAUUACCUCAUGGUUAAUAAGAAAAAAAAAAUCCAACAGAAAAUCGCAAUCUACCAACAAAAGGAAGAAACUUAGAGUUAUUACUUUACUGCAUCUAUCUUUUUCUUCUUCUUCUUCUUCUUUUUUCUCUUUUUUAUUACGGUAGGAAAGUUUGGUCUUCCUUGGUUCUUUCUUUCAUUUUUUUUUUUUUUGAAUAUUUGGUUCAUAGAGGUUCCAACUUUUACAAGGAGAAGGAAAAAUAAGAGAGUUUUAAGGGUCAAGACCUUACGGUCGGUCACCUAAAAGCAUCGGUGCCAAUUGAGCUGAGUUUUGGAAACAAAAUUUUGGCCUUUCCAUUAUAGUGGGAUAUAACUAAAUGCCCGGAUUAACUCAAUUUCCAUAAAUUAAAAAAAAUUAAGAAAUUGGUACCUUUGAAUUCCAAGGGUAGAUAUAUAAUUACUAGUACCCCUUCAAAUGUAGACGAGUGUAAAUAGACUUAAAAGGAGUCCAUGAUAUUGAUAGUUGGUCUUUUGGUCCCAAUAAUUAUUUCGAUAUGUUUGAUUCUUCGUAAUGCGGAAUAACUUUCCUCCAGACAUUCUAAAGACACGUACUGAAACUGAUGGACCAAGUUGCUGUUUGUGAGGUGGCAUUAAUCCUGGUGGGAACGUCUCUUGCGCAAGGAUUUCUGGACUAGACCUUCCAACUUGCGCUUGCCGCAAAGAUGUUUUGGGUAAUGAAUUGAUUUUUCAAGAAAAACACUAGUACUAUUUACAAAACAAGUAGUGCGCGUAAUUAAUUGCACUUUCAUUUGCCAAAAUUUUUCUACUCCCUGCAAACAAACGGGAUGCUGGUGAGUUUGGAUUGUAAAUUAUUUGAGAUAAUUUUAUGAAAAAGUUAUUGUAAUACUUUUUUAAUAUGAUGUAUGUGAAAUAAAAAAACUGAUUGAAAAAUGUGUUAAUGAUACAAGUAAUUCAGUAUAUGUAAAUAAAGUGUAAUUAUUUACAAUCCAAACACACUCCUUAAUUUAUAGGAGUACUAUUUUUAUGUUUUUUCUUCAUUUAUGUUCACUAAAGAAAAGAAAAAUGAAAUACAAUGACCAAAAUCAAUUCAAUUCUCUAUAAUCUAUAUUAGUACCUUUUUUUUUUUUUGGAGGGAGCACCUUCAUGCAUGGACUAACUUGGAUCUCUAGAGGUUCUCCUUCACAUUUGACGUGCAUAGUGCGCCAUUAGGCAUUGGAGCGACUAAGCGGUCAACACAAGGCAACAUCAAAACAGUUGCCCAUUUGGCCCACCAGUAGUACUAGGCAACCAAUCAGACUACUCCGGUCUUGAUUUAUUUUCUUCGGUUUCCAUUUCAUCUACUUCUCCACUGAACCUCUAGAGAAAGCUCAGUCGUUAAAUUUUCUUGUCUGUUCAAAUGUCUAACAUCAAAAUUAGAAUUUUAAUCAAAACCUUAAAGUGGAAACAAAGUGUCAUCUUUUGUUUUUCAAAAAAACAAAAUAAACUAAUGACAGUAAAUACAUCAAAACGUAAAACAGAUCUAAUAGAUGGGAGAAAUUUCCUCCUAAUUUGAAACUCAAAAAAUGUGAUUCUCGACUAGAUUAAUGCAAGUCUUAUAAAUUGAUUACAUUUUCAAUCAAUUCAAUUUCAGAGUAAACAUGCAAUAUGCCCAAGUAUAGCCCUGCCCUGGUUUUCACGGUACAACCACUUCUUCAUUCAAAGAAGUCAUUAGCAUACUAUAGAAAGAAAAGGACCCUAAAGAAUAAGAAUCACAAAAGUUAGUUUGGUUAAGAAAACCAAAUUCUUUCCCCAAGAGUUGUGGAACACAAGGAAUUAUGUGGCUCUCUAAACUCACACGGUCCAGAAUUUUACCUGCGUGGUCCAGGUCCAUCUCUUAGAAGAAGAGACAGUACAAUUGUAAUUUUUUUUUGUAUAAUAUAAUGAAUGCGAUGGCACUUUCUUUGAACAGAGAAAAAUUCUGCAAAGAGGCCAAUCACCAAAUACCGUAGACGUUCAUCUUGACAUAUAAGCCAUACUUGAAAUCAAAGUAAUAUCCCAUGCAUCAGGGCUAGUAUUAUUGAUUUGAACAAUAAAAUCAAGGGAGUGGAGUCUAAAAUUCAGAUAAUCGUUUUUCAUGCCGUGCGGAUUAGGUAAUCAAAAUAGUUCCACAUUUACCAUUUAGUCCACUCGUCAGCCAAUCAGACCAUUUCGUCUUCUUCUCCACUUAACCUAGAGAAAGUCUAGUCGUCAUUCGUUAAUGCUCUUUCUAGCUCAAAUGUCUAACAGGAUUGAAUUAAAACCUAAAAUGAAAAGAAAUUCUCCCUUUUGCCUUUUCUUUUCUUUUUUAAUUUGGGGAUAAACAGCAAGAUAAUUUUCAUUCAAUGAAAAUUGCACUAAUAGCAGUAAAUAACAUCAAAAUGUGCAAGGAAUGCAACAGACAGAAGGAAUUUUCUUCUGUUUCGAAGAAUUAAGACAAUCCAAAUUGUGAUUCUCAAGUAGACUAAUGCAAGUUUCAUAAACUAAUUAAUUAGCAUUUUGAAUUAUUAGCUCUAUUUGCUAUUAAGCAAAAAAAAAAAAAAAAAAAAAAAAACACCUAGACCAAAGCAAUAGAAGAGAAAGAACGAAAGGCCAACUAGAAAAUUACUAUCAAGUUGAAGUUGUAAAUUUCCGUUGAUAUUAUCAAAUAUUAUCAAGUUUCAUAAACUAACGUUGUACUCUUCCGUUAUGUGUUGAAUCAUUCUGCAAGUAAAGCCAAAUGAGUGAAUGGCGACUAGUCGAUCAAUCAGACAUCCAAAGAAGUUAGAUAAUCAGUUUCUUUGAUACUUUUAUUUAUUUUAAUUAUACAAAUUUUUUAUUUUUAAUAUUAAAAAAACUGAAAUUCAUAUAAAUUCGUCCCAUAAUGAGUUGUCUUAGGUCAUCAAAGACUUAUUCUUGAUUGAUUACUUUAGCUAAUUAUGGAUUCUAAUAUUAGAUAAUCAGUUUCUUUGAUAUUUUUAUUUAUUUUAAUUAUACAAUUUUUUUAUUUUUAAUAUUAAAAAAACUGAAAUUCAUAAUCAUUCAAAAAAUUAAAUUUUACUAAUUCUCAUUAUUCUCUAUAGUCAUUUUUUUUAAUCUUAAUCUGAUUUUGUAAAAUCUGAAACCAAGCAGUAUUAGUAUGAAUUUACAAAUAUUUUGGUUCCAAUUUCUUCGGAUGUCCUCUCGAAGGAAGGGACAAUAUUUUGGUUCAAAUCAAAUAUACUCUCGUACUAGCAAUAUGAGAGAGUGGUCUUAACAUUGAUUCGGACUAAAACCAAUCACCUUAUUGGUAAGGUCGUAAGUGACCCGCAUCCCUUGCUGCUGUAUGUUCCCAAUUAUUGACACCCGUUCCGAAGACACCCGUUCCGAACUGCCGGUGAAAGCCAAACAGUGCUUGCCACUGGUAUCAACACGAAUCAAAUAAUUUGCAGGCCUCAGCGACAGCGUUUGGCCCCCAUGGAAUUCAAACGACAUCGUUGGAUAGCCAUCUGUGGGUUCAGAUGAUAGAUCAUAGCAAGUGUCAAGUUUAACUGGACCAUAGUCGAACCCGCUCGCGGGAGGCAAGGCUCGAGCGUACUUAACAAACGUAUCGCGGACCGAGUAAUAAACCUGAGUUGGGAACUCAGUUAUCGUGGUGCCCGAGUCAACUAAGAUUCCCCCGCGUCCAUCUUCGCCUAUUUGGUAAUCUGAUGCCGGGAUGGAUACUUUUUCUCCAUUAAUAGUGACCCCCGUGAGUUCCACGUAGUAAUAAGCCUCAAUUCUUGGGUUAAUUAUCAAGGGAACGAAGACUGAGUCACCAGGUGGAGUUGAGUUAAACUCAAGACUCGAGGACGAGUUCGAGUCCAUAUCCACAAGGCAGUAGGAGAACGACGUCGCUGUAAUUUGAGAAGGGAAGCCUACAGGAGUGCCCCCAAGACCAAGUAUCCCAUCUGCCCCGCCAAACCCGCCCUGGUUCGUAUGCCCGCACCCGAUGGCUACUUUGUCAACCGAGCCCGAACUUCCAAACGAUACCGUUUCGGUGGCGAAUUCGCCCAUGCUACUGAAGUUAUCUCCGUACGACGCUUUAUACGUACACGGGUCAGCUUUGCAAUUUUGGUUUUUUCCCAGGGAGGUACACUCCUGCGAUGCACAGGAUAAAGGACUAAAAGAUGAAGACCCGGAUGGGUCAAAGAUCGGGUCGGAUUGUUCGUAGCAUGGAUCGCAGGGCAGGCAUUGGAGCCAGGUGAUUUGGCUACCCGUAUCCGCUAUCAGGUGGAAUUCUUUCACGGGUCGGCCCACUCCGAUCCGAGCUAAGUACCCUCCCUCAGAAUGAGUCAGUGGAGUUUUGAGGUCCUCCGGCUGGACUUGUACGUCCGGUUUAACAGCAUGACGGCGGUUGAAGGUGGAGACAGCCCGUUCGAUGUUGGAGUUGAUGAGCUUGGCUCGGGCUCGGUCACUCGCGAGUCGGGAGAGUACCAGGUCAGAGUAGUUGUCGUAUGGCAGCUUUAUGAUGGAGGAAUGAGGAUGUAGGGAGAGUGACAAGACGGAGGAGGUUGAGCUAGGCUGAGCUUCUUCGGUUGAGAAGAGUUGAAGCCUCUUGAAAGCUGAAGCAGAGACAACUUGAGGUGAAAAAGGACUGAGGGUGAAAGAGAAGAAGGAGAGGCCGAUGAUGAAGAUGUUAACGGAUGGAAAUGGCCUUUGAGCUUUUCGAGCCAUGUACAUGUUUGUGGUUUUGGUGAUGAGAAGUUUGGGAGAUGAAGUUGCUUUGGUUUAGGAUACAACUAACGGAUCCGGAUAAGUUCAAAUGUUCGAUCACAGUAGAAACUUUGGUCUUUCUUUAUUAUAUAUUUUUUGUUUGCAGUAUGACUCUGUUCUACCCUAUUUCAUUUUUUAUUGUAUUAUUAUUUUUUUCUUCACAAAAAUCAUAUUUUAAUUCUUUUUUAUUUUCUCACGUUCAAUUAACAACUAACACAUACAAAUGUUUUUCAAGAUAGAUGGGCCAAAUGGGACUGAACCACCAUCAUAGAAUAGCCCAAUUGAGUUGGGGAAAUCUAACGGGGACUGAACUGACAUCAGACUAGACGGAUACACCAUGCAGUCGUAUGAAUCUAAAACAAAUCUCAUAUAGAGGCACAUUGAUGGGAGAUAAGAUUUAAAACUUUGACCUCCCACCGCACGAUUAAUGUGGUGGCCAACUCAAUAUGACUGCAGGGUCACUGUGACUUCUUUUUCCUGCAAUCACGGCUUUGUUAUCUAAAGUUAAAUAUGAUUGCUAAUAAUUUUUCAUAAAGCAUUCUUUAAGGGCUUUACAUGCAAAUUCUUUCCCUAAAGAGGUGCGGGACACAAGGACGUGGCUCUUGAAGCUCACAAGUUCAGCCAUAUGGACCAGGUCCAUAUAAAAAGUUUCCUAUGCAAUAUUCGGGAGUAGGCCUGUCAAUCGGACCUAAUGAGCCGGGUUUUGAUGAGAUCAAACUCAACUCAUUUAAUUUGAAUCAUUUUUGGGCUUCGAGCUAUGAGUUUCGGGUUCGUAAAUUUGAAUCUCAUACUCAGCUCACAUAAUAUUCGGGUUGUGAGCCUUAAUUGGGUUUAGCCCAAACUCACUUAUUACUCCUUAAUUUUCUUAAUAUAAUUACUAUAACUAUUAAGUUGUAAAACCAAUUUAACAUUUACAAAACUAUAAUAUUAAAACUAAACAUGAACAAAUAAUAGUUCUUAAAACGUAUAUAAACAAAAAAAAUUUCAACAAUAUUUAUAUUUAAUCCAUUCAAAAUGCAUGAAAAAUAGUAAUAAAACAUGCGAUCAUAAACCAAUACAUCUUUAAAAGUUGAAACUUUUUUUAUAAUCUUGUGAUUUAAAUCCAAAUAUGCUUGAUGAUUUUUGUGUUUGUAGACCAAAAAAAAAUCAACCAAUAUUAUGCCAAUACAAAAAUUUACUCAACCGAUAAGAAAAAUUAGAGAUUUAGUUAUGCAUUACCAAUAUUGGCUCUCAAGAAAGCUCAUUAAAGAGUUUUUAGAUGUAUUUUUGUGUUUGGUAAUUUAUGUAUAUAUUUAGUAUUUAGUAAUAAUAUAUUUGGAUAUAUAAUUAUACAUAAUAUCAAAAUAAAUAUUAUAUAUAUGGGUAAUUAAAGGGUCGGACCUAUAUCGGGUUUGAGCCUAAUAAGGCCCAAGCUCGACUCACAUUUAAUUCGGGCCUAUUUUUUAGACUUAGGUUCAGACCGGUUCACUAAAUGAUCGGACUCAUCGAACUUUCUGUCGGGCCGAGCGAGCCGAGCUCGGGCUGGCCCAGCCCUAUUGACAGUCCUAUUCGGGAGGCUUUUGUAUAACAUAACCAAACUUUUCCUUUUAUAUGUAAGGAAUUUGGAAUUUCAUUUUUUUUCCUUUUAUAUACAAGCUCUGGUUGUUUAUAGAGUUUUUGACCAAAAGAUUGUUAUUCAUAAAAGUUUUGAAAUUAAAAAAAAAUUGAGAAAAAGAAACGAAAAAAUGCUGUUUGUAGAGUUGUAGUCUUCGGGGGAACAUCUUGCCCGAGGAUCAUUUAUGCUUGCUGCAAAGAUAAUUUGGAUAAUGACUUUUUUCAAGAAAAACUAUUUACACAAUAAGUGGUGCUUGCGAUUACGUUUUACUAAUCUUUAUCUCUAAUCUAAAAAUGUAUAACUAGUGACAACAGAAGAAUUUCAUGCACGAGAUUUAGUUGCACUGCCAUAUUUCCAGGCUAAGGAAUAACUGGUAGGAUUCUAGACCAAGCUAGGAUUAAUUAGGACUAGAAGAAAUUGUCUCUUCCAUAAAUUCUAUGCAAAGAGCUCUCUAUAGUAAGAAAAUUAUCUUUCUAGUUCGGUAGUUCGGGGGUUAUGGAGGUUUUGAUGGGUAUAAUUCUCCUUGACGAGCAACUGACAAAUUAUGACGAAUAUAAUGGAGAGGUUUUCUUCCUGUAGAUAUACCUUAAUUGACACGACCGAGUAUGUGUGGUUCAUUUUGCUAGAAAAGCUAACUCAAGUAUUAAAUCAACAAGAACAAUCAAGACUUAACAUAACUCGCCAAAUACUUGGAUAGACUUGGUUCACCGACAAGGUUAUAGACCAUGUGACCAUAAACAACGCUACAUCACUUUUUUGUGAAAAGAUUAUAAAGCAAAAAGGUAACGUUAUUUAUUCUUUGUGGAAAAUUAUAAAGCAAAAGAGUGAUGUGAUUUAUUUAUGUCUACAAGGUCUAUUUUCCAGUGGUGGAUCGGAUCUAUACAAGUCUUUGCCAAUUUACUUUAAAUUAAAAUGAAGACAGCAAGCUCUCGAGCUAUCAACAAUGUUUAGGAACAUGGAGUCCUACAAAAUGCCAAGGAAAAUAUUUGGAUAGAUCCAAUCUACUAACAAAGUUGUAGAACAUGUGACCAUAAAUAUCGCCACAUAGCAAUGCCUAAAAAACUCUGCCAAAUAACAAAUUAGCAAUGCAUAAAAAAUUUUGUUUGGGCUGAAACCAAUCAGCCUUGCUAUGUUACAUGCAAGUAGUGUUUUGCUAGCAAUUAAUUGCUGCUCGGUCAUUAAAUUUUCUUGUCUGUUCAAAUGUCUAACAUCAAAAUUAGAAUUUAAAUCAAAACCUAAAAGUGGGAGCAAAGUGCCAUCUUUUUUUUUUCCCAAAAAAAAAAAUAAACUAAUGACAGUAAAUACAUCAAAACGUGAAAUAGAUAUAAUAGAUGGGAGAAAUUUCUUUGAAACUCCAAAAUGUGAUUCUCGAGUAGAUUAAUGCAAGUCUUAUAAAUUGAUUACAUUUUCAAUCAAUUCAAUUUCAGGGUAAACAUGCAACAUGCCCAAGUAUAGCUCUGCCCUGGUUUUCACGGUACAACCACUUUUUCGUUCUCAAAGAAGUCAUUAGCAUACUAAUUAAAGAAAGAAAAGGACCUAAAAGGAAAAAGAAAAGGAUCUAAUUACUAAGAAUCACAAAAGUUAGUUUGGUUGAGAAAAGAAAGUACUUUAGAACAAAGGUAGACGAUGAGAUCCUCAAAAUAUCAAAACUAAAACCAAUCAUCUUAUUGGCAAGGUCGUAAUUAACCCUCAUCCCUUGCUGCUGUAUAUUCCCAAGUAUUGACAUAGGCAGCGUAGCGACAGUAAAAGCCAAACAGUGCUUGCCACUGGUAUCAACACGAAACAAGUAAUUUGCAGGCCUCAACGGCAGCGUUUUGCCCCCAGAGAAAUCAAGCGACAUCGUUGGAUAGCCAUCUGUGGGGUUUGAGGAUAGAUCAUAGCAAACGUCCAAUUUAACUAUGUCAUUAGCGUACCCGCUCGUGCGAGGCAAGGCUUGAGCGUUCUUAACAAACGUAUCGCGGACCGAGUUAUAAACCUCAUCUGGCAACUGAGUUAUGGUGGUGCCCGAGUCAACUACAAUUCCCCCACGUCCAUCUUGGCCUAUUUGGUAAGCUGAUGCCGGAAUGGGUACUUGUUCUCCAUUAAUGGUAAUCCCCGUGAGCUCCACGUAGUAAAAAACCUCAUUUCUUCGAUUAAUUAUCAAGGGAACGAGGACUGAGUCACCAGGUGGAGGUGGGGCUGAGUUAAACUCGAGACUGGAGGACUUGCCCGAGUCCAUAUCCACAAGGCAGUAGGAGAACGACGUCGCUCUAAUUAGAGAAGGAAAGCUUACAGGAGUGCCCCCAAGACCAAGUAUUCCCGACGCCCCCGCGCGUUGAUUUGUAUGGGCGCACCCAGGGCUACUUUAUCAACCGAACCUGAACUUCCAAAUGACACCGUUUCAGUGGCGAAUUCUCCCACAACAGUGGAUCUAUCUCCGUAGCCCGCUCUAAACAUACACGGGUCAGCAGUGCAAUUUUUGUUUCCGCCCAGGGAGGCACAUUCCUGGGAUGCGCAGGAUAAAAGACUAUAAGAUGAAGACCCAGAUGGGUCAAAGACCGAACCGGACACGCUAGAACAUCCAUCGCAGGGUAGGCAUUGGAGCCAGUUGAUUUGGCUACCCGUAUCCGCUAGCAGGAAGAAUUCUUUUACUGGUUGGCCCACUCUGACCUGAGCUAUGUACCCUCCUCCAAAUGGAGUCAGCGUAGUUUCUAGGUCCUCCGGUUGGACUUGGGCGUCCGGUUUAACGUCAUGAGGGCGGUUGAAGGUGGAGAGAGCCCGCUCAAUUUUGGAGUUGAUGAGCUUGGCUCGGGCUCGGUCACUCGCCAGUCGGGAGCGUACGAGGUCGGAGUAGUUGUUGUUUGGCG
rnacentral:lncRNA from 1 species